rnacentral:lncRNA from 1 species
GCAAUAUUUAUGAAGCCUCUGACCAUAUUUGCAUUUUUGUUUCAUGCAAGACUGAAGACUGGAAGAAAAUUGAAGUCUACCUGAUGUGUUUUGGAGGCGCUGGUUUGAACUUCGAUUACUUCUGCUCUAUGACUUGUGGAUUGUGAAUCUGGACUAUUGUGUGUGUAUUUUGGACUCGUAGUAGGGAUUGGUGUGUGGGUAUUUUGGACUGUAAUUUGAAGUUCUAAUAUGCACUGUUAUGUGUGUACCUUGGGCUAAUAUGGACUGUUAACUAGCCUAUUGAGUAGAUCUGGACUACUGGAUGUUAUAUCAUGCUCUGAACCGAUGUUUACCAUUGAGAUGGAGUUCUAAUCUGGUAUAACAUGUAAAUUGCUGCUUUGUGAUUCUAUAUUUUGCUUGUACAUGUUUUCUUGUGGCUAUUUCAAAUUUCUGGGCAAAUUUCGGUCAAUUUCGUUCAAAUUUCGGUCAUUUUUCGUCCCAAAAUUCAAAUUUUGGUUUGUGCUUUUCGUCCGAAGUUUCCCGAAAUUUUUCUGAAAACCCGAUUUUCGGCCAUUUCGCCCUGGGGCGAAAAAUUCUGCAAACCGAAAUCCAAAACCACCCUGACGGCGACCCCGAACGCCAGGAAAGGGUAGACCAUCCCGUGCUUGUAUCGCGCCCUCAGGUACCGCUCCGUGGCGUUCGCCCUAAGCUCGUCCGGCGCGGCAUCCCAGUAGGCGUCCAUGAGCAUGUGCUUCCACCGCGUGAUCUCUCUCCUGGUACGCUCGUCGUGCUCCGGCCAGUCGUUUAGCCCGAGCCUGCGCAGGGAGCGGUAGGCCUUGACGAGCGGAGCGAGAUCUGCGGCCAGCGCGCGGUAGGUGUGGUGGCGCGUCUUGCGGAUGUAGCGGCGCUUCGCCGAGGAGUAGACGCCGGAGCGGUCGACGAUGAGCAGGCUCGGCCGGCUGCUGCCGCGGAAGCCGGCGAAUCCUGCUCGCUCGCGGACCCCGAACCAAUACUCCAGUACGGUGCUCUCCGGCUCCAUGGCUGGGCCUGAACUAGUUUGUGUUGGUCUAGCUAGACUAGAUUUCCGGUCCGCGCGAGCUAGAUUCUAGCUUUGCACUUGCACGUAUAGGUACGGGGGUCACAGCGCGCGUGCAUGUAUAUAUAGACAGAAAUUUCCUGUCCGGGGCGCAGUUCUGACAUUGAUUCGUUUUCUCCGAGUCCGAACGCGCGCGCGAUCCCGUCGUUCGGUCGGUCAUGACGUGACAACGCGCGAUGCACGGUCCAGCAAAAAACCGAGCUAUACACCCCGGCCGAAAGAAAACGGAUUUGCUAAUUCUCAUCUAGGUAAGAAUUAGCUAUGUCACGUCUACGUUGUCCACCACAUGAUCUAGUUGCUGAAAAAUUCGUGCAAAACUUUGAUCCCGCGUCUCGCUGUGUCUUAUUCCGUUUUCCGUCACGCGCUGUGUACCUUCCCUUGUCGGACUGUUUUCCCGUCGCGCGUUGCCGCGUUGGGGCCUGUGCCAUCGUUUUUUCUGUUUGCGUUGUGUUUCUAUGGCCCUGCGCCUUUUUAUCGAGUUGUUGUUUUGCUCAACCUUUUUAAGAAAAACUUGUCUAUUUAUGUUCUAUACUCAGAUGUUGUUGAUUUCGCUGACUUGUGUAUUCGAGUCUUUGUGGCCCCGACUUGUAAUUUAAAGCUUUACGUUUGUAUUUAUGUCUAGAGUUGUGUUGUGAUAUCUUUACAUGAGUCUCUUAUCUUUAUUGUGUACAUUUGCGUGUAUGAUUAGUGCACAAUUGAGUUGGGGGCGUCACAGGACCAGACCGGUGGCGAGCAAGUUGACAAAGAUGGGAACCGCGUCCUCAUAUGCUUCCUGGCCUCCCGCCGGCCACAGCUCCAUGUGCCCCACUCGCUCCCACGGCCGCUAACCAAAAAGCGAAGCAUCUUCGCGCUGUCGGUAUCCACGAAAUCCAACUCGUGCAAAGCCGGCUCCGGCGGUAGCGACGCCGCCUCCUCCUUGCCUUUCUUCCUCUUAACCGCGGAAGGUAUGGAUCUAUGCGACUCCAUGGAGAGAGAUCCCGGAUGGGGGCAGAUGCGAGGAAAAGGAGAAGAGCUUGGGCGAUGUCGGAGAGAAUGGAUGAGGGGUGAGAGCAACGGAACGGACUAGCAUCACCCCGACACCCCUCCCUUAUAAAUCAAAGGGCAGAAGCAAGGGAAACCGCCCGCCUCUCGGCGAUAACUGCCCAUGCUCCCCGCUUUCCAAGAACGCGCCGCGAACAUGGGCAGGAAUUGAGGUGCUCCCCUGGUCUGACAAAAGUGCCCCUCAAGCUAUCCUUCAAUACAACGCAAAAAGUCUCCAUCGUUUGUUCCUGUCAUGUGUGGCCAUUUGCCAAACGUUAAGGCUCUAGAAAAACAUGGCCCCAUCCCUCGUCUUGAUCCCUGCAAUCACCAAGACGGGUAACGGGCCUGGGGGCUACUGUCAGCGUCAGUAAAACCAGGGUAUUACUAACCCGGUAAGAAGAGCCUUGGCGUCGAGGACAUCGAUGUUAUUCAUCCAGGGGAAUAUCGCCCAAGACCUCGAUACAUCCAUUGGACCAUGGUCUGGUUCGUCAGGAGACAGGUCACAAGGAAAGGGUGGACCGUUUCCUGGAAGCCCCUCACGGGACUUCCCGGGAUGCCACAACGUCAUGACGCCUACCCUUGCGGGGGAAUGAGUCUUCUCUCCUUAAGGGAGUAGGUAGUAUGUACCCCGAGACACUACAACUUGCAUAUGGAUGGAGACAAAGGGCAAAUGGCUAGCCCUUGCACAUGGGCUCUGACAGGACCCGUGCGGCUCAAGCUAUACACGGUGGUUACACUAAUAUUCACCUACUGCUUACACUGCUACAGUAGUGAUACCUCAUCACCGCCCAACGAAUACCAAAGGGGAAGCGAGGUAUUUAGAGGGUAACGCUUUGCCCCAGAAGGACGUUAUCAUCACACGUACAAGCAUGCCAUGAGCGACCAUGCCACCGAAGUACAAAUUGUGUUAGCCUACACCAAUGUAUAUUCUGCCAAUCAGAGCCCCCGGCAAGGCCUCUCCCUGCACUAUAAAGAGGGGAGACCAAAACCUCACAAGGGGUCGAGCUUUUCAUCUUGUAACAGACACAUUGUAGCUCUCUCCAUUGAAUACAAACAAGGCAGGAGUAGGGUAUUACACCAAGAAGGUGGCCCAAACCUGGGUAGUUCUUUGUGUUCAUGUGUAGUUCAUCCACAUAUCUCAUCCAUGACUUAGGAUUGUUGGACGCGUUCAGUUCCUAGCCAAACUCUCAAAGAGUUGUUGCUCACAACUCAUAUGUAGGUUCUUACAAACCGACAGACUCAAUUAUGGAUUCUAUCAGCACCAUUGGGAUUUGAUCAAAGAUGGUGUUACAAACGCAGUUCUAGAUUAUCUAAACGGCGACCAUUUGUUGAAUAUGUUAAAAAACAAUAAUUAUCUUGAUUCAGAAGGUAAAACACCCAAAGAAUAUCACCCAAUACAAGCCUAUUUCUUUAUGCAAUGUUAUAUACAAGCUAUGUUCCAAGAUUUUGGCUGGCCGAUUUUGUAAGAUUCUUGAUGAGAUCAGUGUUGAGGAACAAAGUGCUUUGUACCAGGGAGACUUAUCAUGGAUAACGUGAUUGCGGCAUAUGAGUGCAUUCAUUCAAUGAAAAGAAAGAGGGGCAAGUAGUAUUUGUGUGCGGUGAAAUUAUAUAUGAUGAAAACAUAUGAUCGCAUGAGUGGCCCUAUCUCCAAGGGAUCAUGCUUCACUUGGGAUGGUUGAGAUCUUAGGNNNNNNNNNNNNNNNNNNNNNNNNNNNNNNNNNNNNNNNNNNNNNNNNNNNNNNNNNNNNNNNNNNNNNNNNNNNNNNNNNNNNNNNNNNNNNNNNNNNNNNNNNNNNNNNNNNNNNNNNNNNNNNNNNNNNNNNNNNNNNNNNNNNNNNNNNNNNNNNNNNNNNNNNNNNNNNNNNNNNNNNNNNNNNNNNNNNNNNNNNNNNNNNNNNNNNNNNNNNNNNNNNNNNNNNNNNNNNNNNNNNNNNNNNNNNNNNNNNNNNNNNNNNNNNNNNNNNNNNNNNNNNNNNNNNNNNNNNNNNNNNNNNNNNNNNNNNNNNNNNNNNNNNNNNNNNNNNNNNNNNNNNNNNNNUAUGUUGACAAAUAAACUAGCAUGACAGCGUCAGUCUAAUUUCGUUACCAUGGCAGCGCUAUUUAGUCGACAUGGCAGCGGUCAUCUAGUUAGCGUUAUUCAGACUGUCUGUUAGUACCGCUUUAGGACGUGACUUGUAUGAGCCCAAGGCUCGUUUGUAGGCCUAUUAGACUUGUUCUCGGUUGUGGGAUGGCACCAUCCAGUAGGAGAUCAAGCUAGCUCUACAUCAUGUUUGCUUUCUAUUGAGAAAUAACAGGAAGAAAGAAAAGCAACAUUCAAGGUGCUACACAAAAAUUCAGAGUUCUUCCCUAUUCUUGUCAGAGUGACAAAAACAGAGAGAGGGAUCAAGAGGAGAGAAUUGUGAGUGCUAAUAGAUAUGCCUUUUGCCAACACCAUAUCUCUUACCAAUAAUUUUAUUUUUCAAGAAAUUUGUUUUUGGAGGUUACUCAAAGACCUCCCCCCUCCCCUAGUUCUUGCAUAUGUGUGUAUUGAUUUCCAUUCUGAUCUAGAUUUUCUAGUUCGCACAACUUUCAUGACCUGCAACUAGAGACUGUUAAGCAUAAUGCUGGAAUCUAUAAAAUCUAAAUAGUUGACCCCCACAGACUCUAUUCUCUCAACAUGCAUCCCUCCACAUCACCAAAUGUGCCACGUCAUUAUCCAUUACACCUAUUUUGUAGCACAUGCAUACCCCAAAUUUAACUGUUCCAUCCCCAAUGGUCCAACGUACAUGCAUACUCUUUGUUCACACACAAUUGCUUCCAAGAAAAUAGCUUUUGAUGUAGGUCAUUUCAUUCAUACAAAUUUUAUCCAAAAUUAAUCUUUGAAAUCCCGCAGCAACGCGCGGAGAAAUCACCUAGUUUCUUAGACUCUGGACCCAUAUUGAAUUACAUGCACCAAAUAGUUCACCCAAGCCUAAACUUAUGGAGAAUAGUGGUGUAUAUAUUUCAACACGGGAUACAUGUGUUGCAAAUGGCCAAAGACUACUAAUUUAUUCGAAUGGAAUCAUUUUUCGAUAGAUGUAUUCAUUGUUCUAGAAAUUUAUUUCAUUUGUCAUUACAAAUUUAUUUCAAGAGUCAUGAGUAAUGACACAUAGAACAUAUCCUAGCUUUUCAAGGAGAUGUAUCCAUUGUUAAUCAUCCACUCCAUACUCCAGUGGUUGUUCACAUUCUUGAGAGUCCAAUAGGACCAUCCAAACGUUGCCCUCCCAUACACAUCCAUCUGUGCAUUUGCAAACAUUUGGAACUCUUGCUUCGCUGCAUUAGGCACCUUCCACUCAGCCACCCAUUCUCCUGCGGAAAACAUGUCACAUGAGAUAUUUUUACUAAAGUCCCAAAGGAUGGGGAUAAAAUCCAUGUUCUAAAACCAAAAGGGAAUAGUUACAUUUACCUACAAAGGUGAGGGGACCAUUUUCCCUCGUGACAAUGCUAAGAUCGCUUGAGUAGUUGGUCUUGAUGAAUUCAAUAUUUUGUUGCACGGUGAAAGUAUCAAACAUGUUGUUGAACAACGCGUAGUAAUGCACAUCGAUGACGGAUCCAGGUAACCCGCCAGCGAGCCCGAGGAGCUCUGUUGGGUCCGGGGAUGACAACCGGUUGGACAUGAUCACAUAGGCAUCCGAUGAGUGCUUCCUGACGGUGUUGUACCCGUCGCGGUAGUACGUUUUUAGGCUCUCCAGGGAUACACCGGGUGCCAACGGCUCGUUCAUUAGCUCAACUGCGAGGAGGCUUGGGCUUUUGGCGUACCUGGAUGCGAGAAAAUCUAUCACUUGCACAGUUUGUGCGAUGUUAGUGUCGGUGGUGCCCCAGUCCUGUGAGCCAUCCUUGGAGGAGCUGUGCUCAAAGGGAUUUUGCGACCCAGGAGCUGCAUGUAGGUCAAUGAUGACGCCUAGAUUGUACUUCCUGUUCAUGCAAACAAAUUGAUACAAAGCCAAAUGUUUCAAAAAAAAUUAGAAUAAAAAGGAGGAUCACACCUAGGACAAAAGUUAAUUAGAUAACGGAAGCUUUAGUUUGCUCAAGAUGAUGCCAAGGUCAGCCCCCGGCCUAUAUAUUCCGACAGUUGAGCCGAUCUUUGAUCUCAUACAUUUAGCAAAAUUAGAUUACAAGUUUCUGAAGGUUACUUACUCUGCCCAUUUGAAUGCCUUGUCUAAGGUUUUAAGUGAACCUCCAACGUAAGGUGUUGGAGGUCUGGGGUCGUUAGCGAUCCACCAUCCCACUGGUAUUCUCACUGCGGUCAGCCCGCUUUCGGAGAUGAACCUGAAGUCAGCUUCCACUAUAUAUGUGCUCCAAUGGUUCUGCCAAACAUGCAACAUUCCACAAAAUUGAGGUGCCAAGAAUGAUACGUAUUCCUAACUUGCAGAGUGAGAACAACGGUACCUAUUUCUAGCUAAGUUAUAAACUCUGCCAAUCUACCUUGUCAAGACAAGAAAAUCACACUUCUCGCAAUAAUAAUAAUACUAAUGACGAUGAUGAUGAUGAUGAUGAUGAUGAUGAUGAUGAUGAUGAUGAUGAUGAUGAUAACGCACAAUCAGUUAGAUAAUAUUAGUAUAUCGUGAACACCAAAAACUUGGUGUAUCUUUUUUCAUAUGAACAAAUUACAUUUUCAGUUGGUUUUUUAUACACCAAAAACUAGGUAUAUCCGAUCAAGUUAUUCGCUGCACAAUGAUCGGCACUACUCUUUCUCGUUUCCUUGUGCAAGUGGACAAAUAUAUACUAAUAAACAAGAAGAAAAUGAGGAGGGAAACCACUGAGGACAGUGAUCUCCACAUGAUGCAUGGUAAGCAUAAUGUACAAGUGUUGCUCACUAUAUAUAGCUCUGAAUUAAAACAGGGGUCAGCAAGUGGAGCAGUGGCCCCCGUGAUGUUCAAUGUAUUUACCCUGAGAAUAGGUGUAGCCUUUGCAGUCCCAUAGCCGUUGCAGAUCUGGUACUCCCCUUGUAGCCCCGUCACUCUGGUCACCGCGAACACCGACGGGUCGUCGUCGCCCCAGCUGGUGCUCUGGCCAUAGUCCGCCGUCAGCGAGGCAUCUUUGUUUGCCUGCACGCCGUCAACGGAAUGUGACUAAUAUAGUUUGGAACAUGAAAGAAAAUGAGAUUUCUUAUAAUUACUUAUUGUUUGCGCUAGUCAAAAUCCCUAGGCAAGCUAGUCAACAUUGGAGGCUCAUGUUGAAUAAUGGAGUGUCUGUUUUGAACGCACAUGUGGCUUGCUAGCAUACACUUGUUGUCCAGUUGGCAAACAUAGUAGUACGAGUAUUAUCUUUACCUGCAAGAAGAGACCGUUGGGCGCCAUGAUCCGCAUCCUGUACUGGUCGCCGGGGCUGCGGACCAGUCGGAACGUCUCUGGCCGCCCCGGCGACGCGGCCGUCGCGACCAGCGAGCCGUCGCUCUUGACGCCCACGAACUGGUUGCCGAACACUUUGAAGUUGAAUGUCACCUCGUUGAUCCGCCACAGCUUGAAGGUCUCCCAGCCAGACGCCUGAGGCCGGUUCGCCACCAGCCCCGCGCCGCCGCCAUUCUCCGCGGCCACGUAGGCGUUCUGCGUUACCGACUUGAACUGCAGCUGCGUGCCGUCCUGUACGUACGUCCGCGUGCUUGUCAGUCAAGAAACUAAAAACAGGGAGCCAUGGCGGCGGCCCGCGGCAACGGCACACGUGUGUUGGUAUGUAUGCAUACGCAAAUCUACGACGUUAAUUACCAGGAGAUCGUUGUUGGGGAUGCCGUCGAAGAGGGACGGCAGGAUCCAGCCCUCCGUGACCAGCCACCCUCCGAGGUUCACCGCUCGCACGGGGAGACGAGGAGCAGCCAUAGCUGCCGAGCUUCGGGAGAGGAAGCACAGCACGAGGAGCAAGGAGUAGUGGAAGAGGCGGCUCCUCAUUUCGCAGCUAAUGCUUCUUCCGAUCCACUGGGCUCGGUUCCUUGCAAGUUGCAACGCAAUUGCUCGGUGUUGUGCUCUGCCCUACCGUGUUCUGCUCGCUUAUAUAGCUCACGGCUGAUGAUUAAUUAAGAUAUGAUCGACUUGUUGGAUGCAUGAACACCAGAUUAGAACGGGAGGGUUUCCACUAACGAUAACAAUCCGGGGGUCAAAACUAAUGGCUAACAGGAACGAAGGUGGUUUCGCACUUGGCUAGUAUUCAAAGUUUUAGGUUUGCUUUAAGUGAAAACAUUUUUUUUGAGCUAUAAGCUUUAAGUGAAAACAUGUUCCACUUACAUUAACGUGGCCAAAACCAUUCCCCUCGAGUAGGGCGUUUCGGUGCCCAGACUCAUCUGCACCCGGUUAGAAAAGAAUUCGUAAAAAAAAAAUCAAAAAAAGUCCUUUUUUUGUGCGUUAGACAAUUUGAUGCGUGAGGCCCGCUUCAAAUUUCAAGUCAUUUGGAUAUUUUAGCAGCUCUCAGUAAAAAGGACAAAUCGGUCCAAAACAGUACAUGAACAGUAAACAUUUUUACAGACCUUCAAUUUGUCUUUUUUGCUGAGAGCUCAUCAGAUGUCCAAAUGAUUUAAAAAUUGAAGCCGACCUCACGCAUCAAAUUUCUACCGUACAAAAAAACUUUGGAAUUUUAUAAUUUUUUUCUCUUUUUGCUUUUCUCGAUUUUCCUAAUUUUAUUUUUGAUAUUUUCUCUGCUGCUAUUUAUUUUUUCUCUUUCUUCUUUUUUUUUGCUUUUUCAGUUUCUUUCCUUUUUUGUUUAUUUAAUUUACUUUUUCAAAAAAAAUAAAAACGCAAAUUUCAAAAUAUUUUCAAAUAUUAAAAAUUCGUUUACCUUUCAAAAAAUCUGUUCGGAUUUUUAAAAAUGUUCUCAAAAAAUUGUUUGAAAUGGGCAUAACUUUUGCAUACGAACUCGAAUGAAAAAGCUUUUUAUAUGAAAAACCAUCUACUCGAAAAGUUACAUCCUAAUUUAACCAGAGGGAACCCGUUAAACAUUUUCAAAAUCCUCAAAAACCUAACAGAAAAAAGAUACGGGGCUUUUAAGAUUUGGAGAGGCAAAAAAAUUCAAACUUACUAAUGGCGCACCUGCCCAUGGUGCGCCAUUAGUAUCUUCACGCCUUCAAAAUUCAAAAUAAAUAAAUAAAUAGUAAUGGCGCACCUGCCCACGAUGCGCCAUUACUAUGCCGUAUAUAUGGAUGGGCGUGUCCUCUCCUCCUUACCUCUUCAUUUUUCUCCUCCACUCCUCCACUCCAUCUUCCCUUCUCUCCUCCACCAUACUACCCUCCUCCUCUCCGGCGACCUCCUCCUCCUCCUCUCCGGCGACCUCCUCCUCCUCCUCUNNNNNNNNNNNNNNNNNNNNNNNNNNNNNNNNNNNNNNNNNNNNNNNNNNNNNNNNNNNNNNNNNNNNNNNNNNNNNNNNNNNNNNNNNNNNNNNNNNNNNNNNNNNNNNNNNNNNNNNNNNNNNNNNNNNNNNNNNNNNNNNNNNNNNNNNNNNNNNNNNNNNNNNNNNNNNNNNNNNNNNNNNNNNNNNNNNNNNNNNNNNNNNNNNNNNNNNNNNNNNNNNNNNNNNNNNNNNNNNNNNNNNNNNNNNNNNNNNNNNNNNNNNNNNNNNNNNNNNNNNNNNNNNNNNNNNNNNNNNNNNNNNNNNNNNNNNNNNNNNNNNNNNNNNNNNNNNNNNNNNNNNNNNNNNNNNNNNNNNNNNNNNNNNCCUUCCUCCUCUCUGAUGCUCCGGUGAACUCCUCUCCGGCGACCUCCUCCUCCUCUCUGGCGAUGUAGGCGAGCGCCUCUGCGGUCACCUCCUCCUCCUCCUCUCCAGCGAACUCCUCUCUGGCAAAAGAACACGGCAAAAGAACGUUAGUAGGAUUCGCCCCCCUCUUUUUUUCCUUCUUAUGGAGGUGGAAAGGGGGAAGGCGAGGGACUAGGAGAAGGAAAGGGGGGUGGCGGCCCCUUUCCCUAGUCCAAUUCGGCCUCCUCCCUUGUGGGGGGGGGGGGUGCACCAGCCUCUUGUGGGCUUGGUAGCCUCCCUCCCAUGGCCCAUAUGGCCCAUAUCUUCCGCUCAGGCUUCCGGUAACCCUUCCGGUACUCUGGUUUGUACCCGAUACACUCCGGAACCCUUCCGGUGUCUGAAUACUACCUUCCAAUAUAUCAAUCUUUACCUCUCGACCAUUUAUAGACUCCUCGUCAUGUCCGUGAUCUCACCCGGGACUCCAAACAAACUUUGGUCACCAAAACACAUAACUCAUAAUACAAAUCGUCAUCGAACAUUAAGCGUACGGACCCUACGGGUUCGAGAACUAUGUAGACAUGAUCGAGACACAUCUCCGAUCAAUAACCAAUAGCAGAACAUGGAUGCUCAUAUUGGCUCCUACAUAUUCUACGAAGAUCUUAUUGGUCAAACCGCACAACAACAUACGUUGUUCCCUUUGUCAUCGGUAUGUUACUUGCCCGAGAUUCGAUCGCCGGUAUCUUCAUACCUAGUUCAAUCUCGUUACCAGCAACUCUCUUUACUCGUUUCGUAAUGCUUCAUCCCACAACUAACUCAUUAGUCACAUUGCUUGCAAGGCUUAUAGUGAUGAGCAUUACCGAGAGGGCCCAGAGAUACCUUUCCGAUACACGGAGGGACAAAUCCUAAUCUCGAUCUAUGCCAAACCAACAAACACCUUCGGAGACACCUAUAGAGCAUCUUUAUAAUCACCCAGUUACGUUGUGAUGUUUGAUAGCACACAAGGCGUUCCUCCGGUAUUCGGGAGUUGCAUAAUCUCAUAGUCAGAGGAACAUGUAUAAGUCAUGAAGAAAGCAAUAGCAAUAAAACUUAUCGAACAUUAUGCUAAGCUAACAGAUGGGUCUUGUCCAUCACAUCAUUCUCUAAUGAUGUGAUCCCGUUCAUCAAAUAACAACACAUGUCUAUGGUCAGGAAACAUAACCAUCUUUGAUUAACGAGCUAGUCAAGUAGAGGCAUACUAGGGACACUUUGUUUUGUCUAUGUAUUCACACAUGUACUAAGUUUCUGAUUAAUACAAUUCUAGCAUGAAUAAUAAACAUUUAUCAUGAUAUAAGAAACUAUAAAUAACAACUUUAUUAUUGCCUCUAGGGCAUAUUUCCUUCAGCUCCCCCUUCCGGCUUGGGCGAAUCACAAGCUUAGCAAGGUUUCAUGAAAUUUCAUCUGGUGCGUCGACAACUUCGAAAAUAUGCGACUGGGGGCCACUUCCUGUUGAAUUGGAAGACGGUGUGCAGGCCUAAGACCAUGGGUGGGCUCAGAAUCAUGGACCUGGAGAGGUUUGGUAGAGCUUUUCACCUGUGCUGGCCCUUCCUUGCGACGAGGCAGACAUGACGCUGUUUAGGGCUUCCACCACCAUCGUACUGGGUAACGGCCGGAAAUCUUUGUUCUGGCACGACGACUGGAUGGGAAAGGGUCCCCUGCGUCUGCUGCUCUCCCUCCCGGGCUCUUCAAAAUCGCCAAAGAAAGCGAAGAUCGGUGAUGAAGGGGCUUUAGGAUGAGAAUUGAAUUAGAUCGGUCGCCCGUCUAGAGACACCCACACAGCGGCAAGAGUUCAUUACACUUGCAUCUCUGGCCUCGCAGAUUAUGUUGUCCCCAGACAUGGAGGACUCCAUCUCUUGGCGUUGGACCCCUAAUGGAAGCUACUCCAGACCUCGGCUUAUGCGGCCCGGUUCUAUGGAUCCUUCCCUAGGUACUCGCCGUCCAAGAUUUGGGAGGCACACGCAGAGCCAAAAGGCAAGCUCUUCUCAUGGCUAGUGCUCCACGGGAAUAUCCUCACGAUGGACAUUGGCCAUUCGUGGUUGGCCGCUUGACCCUACGUGUCCUCUCUGCUUGAGGGCACCGAAAACAGCAAACCACCUGUGCAAGGACUGCCCAUUUGCGGUCGCGGUUUGGUCGCAUUUCCAGGUGUGGACUGGGGAAGCGCCCGUGGACACGAUGUUGCUACGGCCUUGGAUGGGGAUCUCAGACUGGUGGGUUUCGCUCAUCACUCCUCUAUCCAAGGAGGACAAACGUUGUCGCAGUGGUCGCUUCCUCUACACCAUCUUGAAUAUUUGGAAGGAGCGCAACCGUCAUAUUUUCAACGGAACCCGCCUAACCCAUGUGGAGGUGGUGGCCCUCGCAUUCAAUGACAUAAGGCAUGUUGAAUAUAUGAGCAAAUUACUAUGAAUUUUAAUUUGAAUAAACAGAUGAAAAAUCAUGAUAGCACUAGCAGAUAUUAAAUUAAUCAUGCGAACUAGCAUAGUAGAUGAACAGAUCACAUCUAUGGCGCAUACUAAAAACAUGAAUUCUACCACGAUCUCGAACAAGAAGGAUAGAAUCACAUACAGUGCAGCGGGAGCAGCACCGCCGGUGUUGAUGUUGUCGACCAUGUCGUUGAGGACGAGGUUGCCGAGGUCGGGAAAGAAGUCGUCGUUGGCGAAGUCGUCGCUGCCAGGGGCGGAGGCAGGGUUGGAGCUUAAACGGGGCCGAACAUGGUGAUUCUCACUUAGAGGGGGGGCAAGAAAGCUAAUUUUGUUCUAACAUCAUGUCUAAACUAGCCUUAAGUACAAAAUCAUCCGUAUUAUAUAAUGUCAUAGUGGGGGCCAGGGCCCCUGCUGGACCCUAGCUCCGCAACUGGUCGCUGCCAGCAGUCGCGCUAGUGCGCUCCUCAAAAAUCUGAUCGUCCCUCUCCCGUACAGGAUCACGAGUGGCGGGGUUCCAGAGGCCUGUUGUCCCUUCUCGCGGUGCACGUCUGAAGGAGGGAUGGAGAAGACUUGUGUGGCGGUGCAAUGAUCUGGAACGAUGGUGCGAAACCAUACGAAACGGCGGUGGCUAGGAUAGACGUCUGCCUGACUAUAUAGUGCGGGCCAGGUAGGUCGUGGGAGUAAACCCCACGUCCGAGUCGCUAUCCAAAAAAAUCAGAAACGGUUCAGUAAUUAACGCGUUCGUUAAUUAUUAAUUAUUGACUCAUUAAUUUUUUUCGAGCAGCGAAAAUAUAGACAACGUGCAUAGCACUAUCCUCGACUCGGCUCAAUCCCUGCGUGGCGAGGAGGAGCGCGCGCGUAGGUCUCCUCUUCUCAUGCUCAUACAUGUCGUAGAAGAGCUCACCUUAUAAAGAGGUGCAAGUCUCAUUCAAUUUUCAUGGUGGGACUAAACUUUAGUCUCACUCACUCCACUCACAUGUGUGCAUAAAUGGGCCAAGUGAAUUUCAGAAUUUCAGUUAGGCUUUGGGCCAAAAGACUACUAGCAAAAUUCCAAUAAGGCAGAGGGCCACGACUUUCGGCAGGGUCCAAGUGGAGACUCGUACUGGCAGCUCUGUUUGGGCACUCCUCGUUAGUGCGGGUUUUGUAACGUUCCCAGAUAAUAACCUGACAUCUCUGUACAUAUACUCUCUUUUUCGUCUGAAAUGAAUAGGCAGUGCUCCUGCCGGUUCCUCCGAGAAACGAAUGAAUUACCUAAUGUAGGAUUAACAGGGCAAGGGCGCAGCCAGCGUUGAUGGGUUCGGUUUGAAGUUUGAACCCAGCAAAAUUUGUCAAACUUAUAAUUCUUGAUAGUCGCUAACUCUGACCCACGAGAUUGUCAAUGGAAACUGGAAACCCUCCCGUUCUGAUCUUGUCUUCACCGAAGAAGUCAAAUACCCUAAGCUAGGCGUUAUCGGCUUAUCGCCUAUAUAAGCUUGCAGAGCACAGCAGGGCAGGGCACAACACCGAGAGCUCUUGCGUUCCGAGUAACCGAGGCCGGUCGUUCGGAAGCAGCAGUACGUACGUAGCAGCCAAAUGAGGAGCCGCCUCUCCCACUGCUUCUGGCUCCUCGUCGCGCUGUGCUUCCUCUCCCGGCGUGCGGCGGCUGCUCCUCGUCUACCCGUGCGAGCGGUGAACCUCGGCGGCUGGCUCGUCACGGAGGGCUGGAUCCUGCCGUCCCUCUUCGACGGCAUCCCCAACAAGGACCUCUUGGUACGUAUACAGCCAACGCAUGUGGGAGGUCGCCGCCGGCGUGUGCCCUGUCCUGCCAUGGCCGGGCUCUCUGUUUAAAUUUCUUGACUGAUUAACGCGCGGUGUACGUACGUGUAGGAUGGCACGCAGCUGCAGUUCAAGUCGGUGACGCAGAACGGCUAUGUGGCCGCGGAGAAGGGCGGCGGCGCGGGGCUGGUGGCGAACCGGUCUCAGGCAUCUGGCUGGGAGACCUUCAAGCUAUGGCGGAUCAACGAGACGACGUUCAAUUUGAAGGUGUUCGGCAACCAGUUCGUGGGCGUCCAGAGCGACGGCUCGGUGGUGGCCACGGCCACGUCGCCGGGAAAGUCGGAGACGUUCCGGUUAGUGCGCAACGCCGGCCAGAACAGGAUGCGGAUUAUGGCGGCAAACAGGCUCUUCUUGCAGGUAAGAUUUAAACGAAAUAUAUGUAUGUCACUACUCAUAUUGGCCAAAGAGGCAACAAGUGUCGUUCUACAAACAUGUAAGUGCUUUAGAGCUCUUAUAUAUAUUUCUUUAAGGAGGGAGGUCUCACUAAUCACUACUUAUAUUUAAGUGGAAACCAAUGAAACCAAGUGAAAACUACAUUUCAAAUGUUUUAAAAAUUCUGAAAAAGGAAGUAUGGCAGAGAGCUGACGUCCUACAAACAUGUAAGUUUUAAAUUUAGUGCUAAUCUUCGAGCAUAUCUCAACAAAAUUGCAACAACAUACAUGCAUAGUAGUUAUUAAUCCACCCACAAAGAAUGAUCCAACGCCAGCAUAAGAAAGGAACUAUUCUAUGAUUUACGUACAAUUGCUUAAACAUUUAGUCAGCGUGUACUACGUCCAAAACCGGCACUGGACUCAACAUGCGCCUCCAAUGUUGACUUGUCUAGCCGUCUAAGAUAUUUGACUAGUACACCAACACUAGAAAGCUCAUUCUCUUCCAUAUGAACUAGCAGUCAAAUUCCAUUGAUGGCAGGCAAACAAAGACAGCACAGUGACAGCGGACUAUGGCCAGAGCACCAGCUGGGGCGACGACGACCCGUCGGUGUUCGCGGUGACCAGAGUGACGGGGCUACAAGGGGAGUACCAAAUCUGCAACGGAUAUGGGACGGCAAAGGCCACGCCAAUUCUCAAGGUAAAGACAUUAUUGAACAUGCAUGUGCCCACUUGCUGAUUGCUACUGUUUUAAAUCAAAACAACGUGGUGAACAGCACUUGCAGAUUAUGCUUAUCAUGAUGUGGAUAUAAAGACAUUAUUGAACAUGCAUGUGCCCACUUGCUGAUUGCUACUGUUUUAAAUCAAAACAACGUGGUGAACAGCACUUGCAGAUUAUGCUUAUCAUGAUGUGGAUAUAAAGACAUUAUUGAACAUGCAUGUGCCCACUUGCUGAUUGCUACUGUUUUAAAUCAAAACAACGUGGUGAACAGCACUUGCAGAUUAUGCUUAUCAUGAUGUGGAUAUCACUGCCCUCGGUGGUUCCCCUCCUCACUUGUUUCUUGUGUACCAUGUGACUCAUGUCUAUGCAUGCCCACUUGCACAAGGAAACAAGAAAAGAGUAGUGGCCACGAUAGUACAGCGAAUGACUUCACCAGAUAUUUAUACCUAGUUUGAAAUAAUUGUAUAAUAAACAAUUUGGAAAGGAAUUUAUUCAUUCAUACGAAAAAAGAGAUACAAAGGGUUUGGUGUUUGCAGUAUAGUAACAUUAUAAAUUGAAUGUGGUUUUAGCUAGGAAUAAGUACUACCAUUUUUCUCUCUCUAUAGAAGUCAGGAAUAAGUAUCAUCACUUUGUGGAACUUUGUAUGUUUGGCAGAACCACUGGAGCACAUAUAUAGUGGAAGAUGACUUCAGGUUCAUAUCCGAAAGCGGGCUGACUGCAGUGAGGAUACCAGUGGGAUGGUGGAUCGCUAGCGACCCCAGUCCUCCAGCACCUUACAUCGGAGGUUCGCUUCAAACCUUGGACAAGGCAUUCAAAUGGGCAGAGUAAGCAUGCUUCAUGUUUGAUCUUGGCAUAAUCUUGAGCAUAAUCAGUAAAGACAUUAUCUAAUUACUUCUGGAAUAAAUGCACAAUUUUUCUGCAUGGACAGGGAGUACAAUCUGGGCGUCAUCAUCGACCUACACGCAGCUCCUGGGUCACAAAACCCCUUCGAGCACAGCGCCUCCAAGGAUGGCUCACAGGACUGGGGCACCAAAGCAGCUAACAUCGCGCAAACCGUACAAGUGAUAGAUUUCCUUGCAUCUAGGUACGCUGCCAGCCCGAGCCUCCUCGCAAUGGAGUUGUUGAACGAGCCGCUGGCGCCUGGCGCGUCCUUGGAGAGCCUGAAAACGUACUACCGCGACGGGUACAAUGCCGUCAGGAAGCACUCAUCGGAGGCCUAUGUGAUCAUGUCUAACCGGCUGUCAUCCCCAGACCCGACGGAGCUCCUCGAGUUCGCCGGGGGGUUGCCCAGGGCCGUCAUCGACGUGCACUACUAUGUGUUGUUCAAUAGCAUGUUUGAUACUUUCACCGUGCAGCAGAACAUUGAUUUUAUCAAGACCAAUUACUCAAGCGCUCUCAGUACUGUCACCAAGCAGAACGGUCCUCUCACCUGUGUGGGUAAGUCUAACUAAUAUUUUGGUGCUUUUUGAUUUUGGAGCAUGGAUUUUAUUUUUGUUCCCAUUCCUGUAAGACUUCAGUGAAAAUGUCUGAUGUGUCAUGGAUGACAUUAUUUUCCACAGGCGAAUGGGUGGCUGAGUGGCAGGUGCCCAAUGCAACGAAGGAAGAGCUUCAAAUGUUUGCAAAUGCACAGAUGGAUGUGUAUGGGAAGGCAACAUUUGGAUGGGCUUAUUGGACUCUCAAGAAUGUAAACAACCACUGGAGUAUGGAGUGGAUGAUCAAGAAUGGGUACAUCUCCUUAAAAAACUAGGAUGUGCUUUCUACGUGUAAUGACAUGUGAAAUAAGUUUGUGGAGCAAUCAAUUCAUAUCUACAAAAAAUGAUUGAAGGUGAAUAAAUGAAUUUGUAGUAUUUGACCAUUUGCUACACAUGUCUUCUUGAUGACCCACAAGUAUAGGGGAUCUAUCGUAGUUCUUUUGAUAAGUAAGAGUGCCGAACCCAACGAGGAGCAGAAGGAAAUGACAAUCGGUUUUCAGAAAGGUAUUCUCUGCAAGCACUGAAAUUAUCGGUAACAGAUAGUUUUGUGAUAAGAUAAUUCAUAACGGGUAACAAGUAACAAAAGUAACUAAGGUGCAGCAAGGUGGCUCAAUCCUUUUUGUCGCAAAGGACAAGUCUGGACGAACUCUUAUAUAAAGCAAAGAGCUCCCGAGGACACAUGGGAAUUACUGUCAAGCUAGUUUUCAUCAUGCUCAUAUGAUUCGCGUUCGUUAGUUUGAUAAUUUGAUAUAUGGGUGGACCGGUGUUUGGGUGUUGUCCUUCCUUGGACAAGCCUCCCACUUAUGAUUAACCCCUCUCGCAAGCAUCCGCAACUACGAAAGAAGAAUUAAGAUAAAUCUAACCAUAGCAUGAAACAUAUGGAUCCAAAUUAGUCCCUUACGAAGCAAUGCAUAAACUAGAGUUUAAGAUUCUGCCACUCUAGCAACCCAUCAUCUAUUUAUUACUUCCCAACGCCUUCCCCUAGGCCCAAAUCAUGGUGAAGUGUCAUGUAGUCGAUGUUUACAUAACACCACUAGAGGAGAGACAACAUACAUCUCAUCAAAAUAUCGAACGAAUACCAAAUUCACAUGAUUACUUAUAACAAGACUUCUCCCAUGUCCUCAGGAACAUACGUAACUACUCACAAAGCAUAUUCAUGUUCAUAAUCAGAGGAAUAUUAAUUAUCAUUAAGGAUCUGAACAUAUGAUCUUCCAUCGAAUAAACCAACUAGCAUCAACUACAAGGAGUAAUCAACACUACUAGCAACCCACAGGUAUCAAACUGAGGUUUUGAGACAAAGAUCGGAUACAAGAGAUGAACUAGGGUUUGGAGAGGAGAUGGUGCUUGUGAAGAUGUUGAUGGAGAUUGACACCCUCUCGAGGAUUGUUGGUGAUGACGACGGCUUCGAUUUCCCCCUCCCGGAGGGAAGUUUCCCCGGCAGAACAACUCCGCCGGAGCCCUAGAUUGGUUCUGCCCAGGUUCCGCCUCGAGACGGCGGUGCUUCUUCUCGAAAGCUUCCUUCUGAUUUUUUCCAGGUCAAAACACACUAUAUAGCAGAAGAUGGGCAUCGGGGGCCUGCCAAGUGGCCCACAAGGCAGGGGGCGCACCCAGGGGGUAGGGCGCGCCCUCCACCCUUGUGGAUGGAGGUGGCCCCCCUCUGGUGCUUUCUUCGCCCAAUAUUUUUUAUUAUUUCUAAAAUGACUCUUCGUGAAGUUUCAGGACUUUUGGAGUUGUGCAGAAUAGGUCUCUAAUAUUUGCUCCUUUCCAGCCCAGAAUUCCAGCUGACGACAUUCUCCCUCUUCAUGUAAACCUUGUAGAAUAAGAGAGAAAAGGUAUAAGUAUUGUGCUAUAAUGUGUAAUAGCAGCUCAUAAUGCAAUAAAUAUCGAUAUAAAAGCAUGAUGCAAAAUGGACGUAUUAACUCCCCCAAGCUUAGACCUCGCUUGUCCUCAAGCGGAAGACUAAAUCGAAAAAUAUGUCCACAUGUUUAGAGAUAGAGGUGUCGAUAAAAUAAAAUACGGACAUGAGGGCAUCAUGAUCAUCUUUAUAAAAAACAUAUAAUGUCAUAUAAUUUCUUAUGCUAAAGUAACAAUUCAUUCACAAAGUAAAGUAUGAAUCAGAAACCUUAUUGGAAACUAACAAACUAUGAUCUCAAUCAUUGAAGCAAUUGCAGUUUAUCAUAACAUCGGAAAGAGUCAAUAUAAGAGCUUUUGAGCAAGUCCACAUACUCAACUAUCAUUUACUCUUUCAUAUUGCUAACACUCACGCGAUACUUAUGGGUUCAAAGCUUCAGUCGGACACAGAGAAAGAUAGGGGCUUAUAAUUUCGCCUCCCAACCUUUUACCUCAAGGGUGAUGUCAAUAGUGUAAUACUUUAUGAUAACCUACAACCGAGUGGAUAUAUAUAUAUAUAUAUAUAUGGAUCUCUCAACACACAGGGCUUGCCAAAAGAAAAAAGUGUAAAAGGAAAAGGUGAAGAUCACCAUGACUCUUGUAUAAGGGUGGGAGAUAAAAGUAAAAGAUGGGCCCUUCGCAGAGGGAAGCAGAGGUUGUCAUGAGCUUUUAUGGUUGGAUGCACAAAAUCUUAAUGCAAAAAAACGUCACUUUAUAUUGCUUCUUGUGAUAAAGAACUUUAUUGUGCAGUCCAUCGCUUUUAUUUCUUCCAUAUCACAAGUUCGUAUAAAGCUUAUUUUCUUCACACUAAUAGAUCAUACAUAUUUAGAGAGGAAUUUUUAUUGCUUGCACCGAUGACAACUUACUUGAAGGAUCUUACUCAAUCCAUAGGUCGGUAUGGUGGACUCUCAUGGCAAAAACUGGGUUUAAGGGGUGUUUGGAUGCACAAGUAGUAUCUCUACUUGGUGCAAAGAAUUUGGCUAGCAUGAGAGGGAAAAGCAAGCUCAACAUGUUGGAGGAUCCAUGACAAUAUAACUUCUAUUCGGAUAUAAGAAAACAUAACCCAUUAUAUUGUCUUCCUUGUCCAACAUCAACUUUUUAGCAUGUCAUAUUUUAAUGAGUGCGCACAAUUACAAAUGGUGUCCAAGAUAGUAUAUUUAUAUGUGAAAAUCUCUCUUUAUUUAUUACUUCCUAUUAGUUGCAACAAUGACCAAGACUAUGUUUGUCAACUCUCAACAAAUUUUAUUCAUCAUACUUUUUAUAUGUGAAGUCAUUACUCUCCAUAAGAUCAAUAUAUGAUCCUUUUUAUUUAUUUUUAUUCUUUCUUUAAUUCCCUCAAGAUCAUAGCAAGAAAGCAAAGCUCUCAACUCAAAACUACUCUUUAUUAUAUAGCUCACGGACUCGAUUACAUAGAUAGAGAUCAAAACAAAACUCAAAGCUAGAUCAUACUAAAACUUUAUUCUACUAGAUCAAGAUAUAACCAAAAGGAUCGAACUAAGAAAACGGUGAAAGUAAAGGUGUGAUGGUGAUACGAUACCGGGGCACUUCCCCCAAGCUUGGUAGUUGCCAAGGGGAGUGCCCGUACCCAUGUAUUUAUGUCUCUUUCUUUGGAGGUGGUGAUGUGAUAUUCUUGGCGAUGAUGCCCCUUAGGAUGUGAUUCUCCUCCUCGAGCUUAUUAUUUUGCUGCUUAAGAUCCAUUAUUUCCUUGUGAAGUUUACCCGUGACUACUAGAGCUCCAAUCACCCAUGAAUGUUUCAUAGCUGCGGGAGAAAAAGUAACACUCUUUUUCAUAUUUUCAUAAGAGAGAAAUUUAGCAUUGGGAGGGAUGACAAAAUUUGGUAUUGUUGAGCUCUUAAGUUCCUCCAUCAUGAAUCUAGUUUGAAGAUGAGAGGUAACUUCUUGAUCCUCCUCCAUGGCAUCCACCCUUUUCAAGUCGGCCUUCAUCUCUUCCUCUAUUGAUGGCCCAAAGUGGUCAGCUUCGUUGUUUGCUCUUGGGCCUGGCGAUGGAUGAGAGAUAUGACUCUCCUCAACUGACUCUUGCGAAGACAUCUUGCUCCAAAUCUGCUGUAGAAACAACUCAAAAUGAAAACAAGAGAUUUUGCCAUGGUACAGUGGUCAAAACCUUCGGGAGAUUAUAUAAUGAAUUUUUACCGACCAAAAGAAGUAUUGUGCAAGAAAACGGAGUCCGGAGGGCACACGAGAUGGCCACAAGGCAGGGGGGCGCGCCCAGGGGGUAGGGCGCGCCCUCCACCCUUGUGGUCUCCUCGUGUCUCUUUCGGACUACUUUUAAUUUUCCUUUUUUUACAUAUUCCAGAAUGGAGAAAAAUUCUAUUAGAACAAUUUUGGAGUCGGUUUACUUAUCGUACCACAUACCUAUUCCUUUUCGAAGUUUGAAACGUUCUGGAAAGUAUCCCUUAUGUACUCCUCCGGUGUUAUGGUAUUAAUAAUAUUGGUCUCAACAUUUAUGGGAGUAUCUGAAAUAUAAUGUUUGAUUAUUUGACUGUUUACCACCUUCGCAUUUGUGCCUUCGGCGUUGUUGAUUUUGAUGGCACCAGAACGAUAGACCUCCUUGAUAAUGUAAGGUCCUUCCCAUUUACAGAGAAGCUUUCCUGCAAAAAAUCUUUAACUAGAGUUGUAUAGCAAAACAUGAUCACCUACAUUAAACUCAUGCUUUUGUAUCCUUUUGUCAUGCCAUCUUUUAACUUUUUCUUUAAACAAAUUGGCAUUCUCAUAGGCUUGUGUUCUCCAUUCAUCAAGUGAGUUUAUGUCAAAUAACCUCUUCUCACCGGCAAGUUUGAAAUCAUAGUUGAGCUCUUUGAUGGCCCAAUAAGCUUUGUGUUCUAAUUCAAGAGGUAAGCGGCAAGCCUUUCCAUAAACCAUUUUAUAUGGAGACAUACCCAUAGGGUUUUUAUAAGCCGUUCUAUAAGCUCAUAAUGCAUCAUCAAGUUUUUUAUACCAAUUCUUUCUAGAUCUAUUAAAAGUUUUUUGCAACAUCAAUUUAAUCUCUCUAUUGCUCAAUUCUACUUGACCACUAGACUGAGGAUGAUAUGGAGAUGCGAUUCUAUGGUUAACAUCAUAUUUAGCAAGCAAUUUACGAAAAGCACCAUGAAUAAAAUGUGAACCACCAUCAGUCAUUAAAUAUCUAGGGACUCCAAACCUCGGAAAAAUAACUUCUUUAAGCAUUUUAAUAGAGGUGUUAUGAUCAGUACUACCAGUUGGAAUAGCUUCUACCCACUUAGUAACGUAAUCAACAGCAACUAAAAUAUGUGUAUACCCAUUAGAGGAAGGAAAAGGUCCCAUAUAACCAAAGCCCCAAACAUCAAAUGGUUCAAUAAAAAGUGAAUAGUUCAUAGACAUUUCCUGACGUACACUAAUAUUGCCAAUUCUCUGGCACUCAUCACAGGACAAGACAAACUUAUGAGCAUCCUUGAAGAGAGUAGGCCAAUAAAAACCCCAGCAUGGUGUCCUCCGUAAGCCUCAGAGUGGCACUUGCGUAUGAUAUGUUCCUGUUCAUGCUCAGGUAGACAACGUCUAAUAACCAUCUAAUCCUUCUUUAUAAAGGUGGGGGCCAUCCCAAAAGUAAUGUCUUAAAUCAUAGGAAAACUUUUUCUUUUGCUGGUAUGUGAAACUAGGUGGUAUAAAUUUAGCAACAAUGUAAUUAGCAUAAUCAGCAUACCAUGGAGUAUUACGAGAAGCAUUUAUGACAGCUAAUUGCUAAUCAAGAACAUUUUCUAACCUAGACAAGUUGUCUGCAACGGGGUUCUCAGCUCCCUUUCUAUCAAUAAUAUGCAAAUCAAGUUCUUGCAGCAAGAGAACCCAUCUAAUAACUCUAGGUUUAGCAUCUUUCUUUUCCAUAAGAUAUUUAAUAGCAGUAUGGUCAGUGUGAACAGUUACUUUGGAAUCAACAAUAUAAGAUCUGAAACUAUCACAAGAAAAAACAACUGCUAAAAAUUCGUUUUCAGUAGUAGCAUAAUUUCUCUAGGCACUGUCUAGAGUUUUACUAGCAUAAUGAAUAACAUUCAAUUUCUUAUCAACUCUUUGCCCUAGAACAGAACCAACAGAAUAAUCACUAGCAUCGCACAUAAUUUCAAAGGGUAAAUUCCAAUCAGGUGGUUGAACAAUAGGUGCAGAAAUCAAGGCCUUCUAAGUAUUUCAAAUGCUUCUAUACAAUCAUCAUCAAAAACAAAAGGAACAUCUUUUUGCAAGAGAUUAGUGAGAGGCCUAGAAAUUUUAGAGAAGUCUUUAAUAAACCUCCUAUAGAAACCAGCAUGACCAAGGAAACUUCUUAUACCUUUGAUAUCUUUAGGACACGACAUCUUUUCAAUAUCAUCUACUUUAGCUUUAUCAAAUUCAAUACCUCUUUCAGAAAUGUUAUGCCCCAAGACAAUGCCUUCAUUAACCAUAAAGUGCACUUAAUUCUCCCAAUUCAAGACGAGAUUAGUUUCUUCACAUCUCUACGUUCACAUACAACAGGUGCAAGCCAGUUUUGCACAUGCGGAAUACCCGGGUUAAACUUGACGAGCCUAGCAUAUACAAAUAUGGCCACGGAAUGCUAGAGACCGAAAGGUCGAACAUGAAUCAUAUAGUAGAUAUGAUCAACAUAGAGAUGUUCAAUAUUGAUGACUACUCCAUCUCACGUGAUGAUUGGACAUGGUUUAGUUGAUUUGGAUCACGUACCAUUUAGAUGACUUGAGGGAUAUCUAUCUAAGUGGGAGUUCUUAAGUAAUUUGAUUAAUUGAACUUAAUUUAUCAUGAACUUAGUCCUAAUAGUAUUUUGCAAAUUGUGUUGUAGAUCAAUAGCUCGUGUUGUAGCUCCCCUGUGUUUUUUGAUAUGUUCCUAGAGAAAACUAAGUUGAAAGAUGAUAGUAGCAAUGAUGCGGACUGGGUCCGUGAUCUGAGUAUUAUCCUCAUUGCUGCACAGAUGAAUUAUGUCCUUAAUGCAUCGUAAGUGACAGACCUAUUGCAGGAGCAGAUACAGACGUUAUGAACGUUUGGCAAGCUUGAUAUGAUGACUACUUGAUAGUUUAAUGCACCAUGCUUUACGACUUAGAAUCGGGACUUCAAAGACGUUUUGAACGUCAUGGACCAUAUGAGAUGUUCCAGGAGUUGAAGUUAAUAUUUCAAGCAAAUGCCCGAGUUGAGAGAUAUGAAGUCUCCAACAAGUUCUAUAGCUACAAGAUGGAGAAGAAUAGCUCACCUAGUGAGCAUGUGCUUAGAAUGUCUGGGCACUACAAUUGCUUGAAUCAAGUGGGAGUUAAUCUUCCAGAUAAGAUAGUGAUUGACAAAGUUCUCUAGUCACUAUCACCGAGCUAUUAGAACUUCAUGAUGAACUAUAAUGUGAAAGGGAUAAUGAAAAGAUUCCUGAGCUCUUCGUGAUGCUAAAAUCGGCAAAGUUGGAAAUCAAAGAAAGAGCAUCAAGUGUUGAUGGUUAACAAGACCACUAGUUCCAAGAAAAAAGGCAAGGGAAAGAAAGGGAACUUCAAGAAGAAUGGCAAGCAAGUUGCCACUCCCGUGAAGAAGCCCAAAGCUAGACUUAAGGCUGAAACUAAGUGCUUCUACUGCAAAGGAAAUGGUCACUAGAAGCGAAGAUACCCCAAAUAUAUGGCGGAUAAGAAGGAUGGCAAAGUGAACAAAGGUAUAUUUAAUAUACAUGUUAUCGAUGUGUACCUUACUAGUGCUCAUAGUAGCCCCUGGGUAUUUGAUACCUGUUCGGUUGCUAAGAUUAGUAACUCAAAAAGGAGUUACAGAAUAAAUAGAGACUAGUUGAGGGUGAAGUGACGGUGUGUGUUGGAAGUGGUUCCAACAUUGAUAUGAUCAUCAUCGCACACUCCCUAUACUUUCGGGGUUAGUGUUGAACCUAAAUAAAUGUUAUUUGGUGUUUGCGUUGAGCAAGAAUACGAUUAGAUCAUGUUUAUUGCAAUACGGUUAUUCAUUUAAGACAGAGAAUAAUUGUUAUUCUAUUUACGUGAAUAAAACCUUCUAUGGUCAUACACCCAAUGUUUAUGGUUUAUUGAAUCUCGAUCGUAGUGAUACACAAAUUCAUAAUAUUGAUGCCAAAAGAUGCAAAGUUGAUAAUGAUAAUGCAACAUAUUUGUGGCACUGCCGUUUCGGUUAUAUCGGUGUAAAGCGCAUGAAGAAACUACAUGCAGAUGGACUUUUGGAAUCACUUGAUUAUGAAUCAUUUGAUACUUGCAAACCGUGCCUUAUGGGCAAGAUGACUAAAACUUCAUUCUCCGGAACAAUGGAACGAGCUAACUAUUUAUUGGAAAUAAUACAUACCUAUGUAUGCAGUCUAACGAGUGUUGAGGCUCGUGGCGGGCAUCGUUUUCUUUUGACAUUCACAGAUGAUUUGAGCAGAUAUGGGUAUAUCUACUUAAUGAAACACAAGUCUGAAACAUUUGAAAAGUUCAAAGAAUUUCAGAGUGAAGUGGAGAAUAAUCGUAACAAGAAAAUAAAGUUUCUACGAUCUGAUCGUGGAGGAGAAUAUUUGAAUUACAAGUUUUUGCCUUCAUUUAAAACAAUGUGGAAUAGUUUCACAGCUCACGCCACCUGGAACACCACAACGUAAUGGUGUGUCCGAACGUUGUUACCGCAUUUUAUUAGAUAUGGUGCGAUCUAUGAUGUCUCUAACCAAUUUACCACUACCGUUUUGGGAUUAUGCAAUAGAGGUAGCUGCAUUCACGUUAAACAGCGCACCAUCAAAAUCCGUUGAGACGACACCGUAUGAACUAUGGUUUGGCAACGAACCUAAGCUGUCGUUUCUUAAAGUUUGGCGAUGCGAUGCUUAUGUCAAAAGGCUUCAACCUGAUAAGCUCAAACCUAAAUCAGAGAAGUGUGUCUUCAUAGGAUACCCUAAGGAAACAAUUGGGUACACCUUCUACCAUAGAUCCGAAGGCAAGAUCUUUGUUGCUAAGAAUGGAACCUUUCUAGAGAAGGAGCUUCUCUCGAAAGAAGUGAGUGGGAGGAAAGUAGAACUUGAUGAGGUAGUUGUACCUUCUCUCAAUUUGGAAAGUAGAUCAUCCGAGAAAUCCGUUCCCGUGAUGCCUACACCAACUGGAGAGGAAGAUAAUGAUAAUGAUCAUGAAACUUCAGAUCAAGUUGCUACAGAACCUCGUAGGUUAACUAGAGCACGAUCCGCACCAGAGUGGUACGGUAAUCCUGUUAUGGAAGUCUUGUUACCUGACCAUGACGAACCUACAAACUAUGAUGAAGCUAUGAUGAGCCCAGAUUUUGACAGAUGGCUUCAGGCCAUGAAAUCUGAGAUAGGAUCCAUGUAUGAGAACAAAGUGUGGACUUGCCCGAUGAUCGGCAAGCCAUUGAGAAUAAAUGGAUAUUCAAGAGGAAGACAGACGCUGAUGGUAGUGUUACUAACUACAGAGCUUGACUUGUCGCAAAAAGGUUUUCGACGAGUUCAAGGUGUUGACUACAAUGAGAUUUUCUCAACCGUAGUGAUGCUUAAGUCCGUCCGAAUCAUGGUAGCAAUUGCCAUAUUUUAUGAAAUCUAGCAAAUGGAUGUCAAAAUUGCAUUCCUUAAAUGGAUAUCUCUAAGAAGAGUUGUAUAUGAUGCAAUCAGAAGGUUUUGUCGAUCCUAAAGGUGCUAACAAGGUGUGCAAGCUCCAGCAAUCCAUCUAUGGAUUGGUUCAAGCAUCUCAGAGUUGGAAUAUACACUUUGAUGAGUUGAUCAAAGCAUACAUACUUGCGGUGAAGCCUGUAUUUACAAGAAAGUGAGUGGGAGCAUGAUAAGUAUAUGUGAAUGACAUAUUGUUGAUGGGAAAUGAUGUAGAAUUUUCUAGAAAGCAUAAAGGAGAGUUUGAAAGGAGUUUUUCAAAGAAAGACCUCGGUGAAGCUGCUUACAUAUUGGGCAUCAAGAUCUAUAUAGAUAGAUCAAGAUGCUUGAUAAGAUUUUUCAAUGAGUACAUACCUUGACAAGAUUUUGAAGUAGUUCAAAAUGGAACAGUCAAAGAAGGAGUUCUUGCCUGUGUUGCAAGGUGUAAAGUUGAGUAAAACUCAAAACCCGACCACAACAGAAAAUAAAAAGAGAAUGAAAGUCAUUCCAUAUGCCUCAGCCAUAGGUUCUAUAAAGUAUGUUAUGCUAUGUACCAGACCUAUUGUGUACCUUAUCAUGAGUUUGGCAAGGGGGUACGAUAGUGAUCUAGGAGUGGAUCACUCGACAUCGGUCAAAGUUAUCCUUAGUUACCUAAGAGGACUAAGGAAAUAUUUCUCGGUUAUGGAGGUGAUAAAGAGUUCGUCGUAAAGAGUUACGUCGAUGCAAGCUUUUACACCGAUCCGGAUGACUCUGAGUCUCAAUCUGGAUACAUAUUGAAAGUGGGAACAAUUAGCUACAGUAGCUCCAUGCAGAGCAUUGUAGACAUAGAAAAUUUACAAAAUACAUACGGCUCUAUAUAUGGCAGACCCGUUGACUAAACUUCUCUCACAAGCAAACCAUGAUCACACCUUAGUACUCUUUGGUUGUUGAUCACAUAGCGAUGUGAACUAGAUUAUUGACUCUAGUAAACCCUUUGGUUGUUGGUCACAUGGCGAUGUGAACUAUGGGUGUUAAUCACAUACAUAUAUGAACUUGAUGUUAAAUCACAAGACGAUGUGAACUAGAUUAUUGACUCUAGUGCGAGUGGGAGACUGAAGGAAAUAUGCCCUAGAGGCAAUAUAAAGUUGUUAUUUUAUAUUUCCUUAUAUCAUGAUAAAUUUUUAUUAUUCAUGCUAGAAUUCUAUUAACUGUAAACUUGAUACAUGUGUGAAUACAAGGACAAAACACUAUGUCCCUACUAAGCCUCUACUAGACUAGCUCGUUAAUCAAAGAUGGUUAAGUUUCCUAGGCAUGGACAUGUGUUUUCAUUUGAUGAAUGUGAUCACAUCAUUUGGAGAAUGAUGUGAUGGACAAGACCCAUCCGUUAGCUUAGCAUAAUGAUCAUUCAGUUUUAUUGCUACUGCUUUCGUCAUGUCAUAUAUAUAUAUAUAUAUAUAUAUAUAUAUAUAUAUAGAGAGAGAGAGAGAGAGACGGUCUAUUCUGCUAAUAUUAGCAGAAUAACUAUUCUGCACACCACUUCCGCACUGCACGCUGAACGCAAGUGCACGUCAUUCUUUUAACCAAGUGUGUUGCAGUACUCACACGAGUGAACUUCUCGUCGGAAAAAACUACAUACGUUAUUUUUUCGGUACUGUUUUCACUCUAAUUUUUUAACCGUUUAUCGGAAUAAGGCGUGUAAUAUACCAUUGAAAAGCUAUGUAUUAGGCGCCACUUCGACAUGUCAAACACUUUUCGAGAUUCCACACGGUUUAAGAGCAGUUUUGAAAAUGGUGCGGCCCAUGACGAGUGGCAGCGAGCGUUUUUUUGCGAUUUCUUCUAGACCGCUCGUCGGAAUGAAGCAAAUGAUGCACCGUCGGAUAGAUAUCAUCGAGGCGCAUCUUUUUCAUAUAUAAAUUGUUCUCUAAUUCCUUACGGUUUAAGAGCAGUUUCAAAUUUACUAAAUCACGGAAUUCUGUUUUUCAAAUUUUUUCAAAUUUUCGGUACUGUUUUCGCUCCAUUUUUUUAACCGUUUGUAGAAACGAGGCAUGUAAUAUAUCGUUGAAAAGCUAUGGACGAGGCGCAACUUUCAUAUGUUGCAAUGUUUUUGAGAUUCCUUACGGUUUUAAGUUAAUUUUGAAUAUCGUGUGGCGGACGACGAGUGGCAGCUGUUGUUUUUCGCGAAAUUUUUACAAACGCUGCUCAGAAUGAUUCAAAUGGUACGCCGUUGGAAAGGUAUCGACGAGGCGCAACUUUUUCAUGUAGAACACUCUCUCUAAUUCGUUACGGUUUAAGAGCAGUUUUAAAUUACUGAAAUGCGGACACUCUGUUUUUCACGACACCAAAAUCGACAUGUGUAUUGCAUCAGACAGAACAUCGCACUGCAUCAAACAGUGAAGUGAGCGUCAUGAUUUCUUUGGUCAUUUUCCUAACCUUUUUAUGAAACACAAAACACCUUGUGGGAUGAGUGCAGUGCACAUCAAAGGUAAAGUGAAGCACAACACAAAUCGGAGUGGGCUGCGUGGCUUUUUUGUCGUUGUCAAACUUUUGUUUUAAAUAUGUUCAAACUGAAUUACCGAGGCUAGUGUACUGCAUUUUUUUUCUUUUUUUCUUCUCACUUUUUUAUGAAUGCAUCUCAAACAAGGCAAGUGUACUGCAUCAACAAUAGCAUGUAUCAAAUUGAAGUACUAAGCGAGCUUUUUUAUCGAGUAUAUACUGCAGGGACGAGGUGAGUCUACUGCAUCAAUUUUUCUUCCAAUAUUUUUCUACCACGGACAACAACAAAGUGAGCUGCAUAAAAAAUCAACAUUUUCUAAAAAAAAUUGCACUUGGCAACAUAGUGAACCUCUGGGAGAAAGAAGAUUACAAGGCACUCAAACAGGUGAGCUGCAUUUCAGAAAAUUACUAUUGUUUUCUUUAGUGCAUGUUUUUUCGAGAGAGUUGCGAUUGGUACGUCCCUGGACUCGAGACAACUGCAAUGCUACUCUUUAUAAUCCACAGUACAAACACAUACAAGAUGACAAUGAGGAAGGACUUAAAAAAGAAAUCAACAUUUUGUCCGUGAAAUGCAAGCCGGUCGCCGACGCACUGCUGUCCAACCCCCAUAGCACUGCACCUGUGCGCCCAUGGGACUGCAACCAAAACCUGAAAAAUGCAAAAAUGUCAACCGUGAGCAAUAUUGCCUUUUUUGUCUUCAGAGUGAACCGAUGAUUUCUUUUUUGUCAAAACAAACUGCACUGUCUUUCUUAGCAUUUUUCCCAAAGGAAUAUAAAAGAGAACCUCUUGAACCCAAGAAAGUGAACCUCUCGACACAUGUUAGCACACAGCCAGCUCGCAUCAUACACAAGUGUUUUCUCAAACAAUAAAAGCGAACUUCAGAAAAACAAUGAUAUCCUUUUUUCUCCCCUUCGCACAUGUGCCACACUGCACGUCCAUGCGAGCUGCACUGCAAAAUAUAGUAUAAAGCAAAAUAAAACUAUGGCACAAAUUUUUGGGGGAGGAAUGGGAUGGUCAACCGUCGUCGAGGGCGUACCUCCCGAACUACACGACAGCGCCAACCGAGCCGCACUGGGCGCGAAGCCGGUACAGGAAGGAGCUCACCAGUGGCUCAACCGAACUGCAUUAGCCAGCAACCGAGCUGCACGGGGCGCCGCCCGAACACCACCGCUAGCCAUGCGCCGUGCAGUCCACUUACCAACCCAAGGAGGUCCAGCACAAAGUUGACCUGCUCGUGAAGAUCGCGCGAGGUGGCCACGGAUGAACCACAUCGGGGGGGUGCGGCGAACUGCUCGCGGGAUCUGGCAGAACUGCAUAAGCAAAAUCUAGAAUAAAACGAAAAAACUCUUCUAAACCGCACCCGCAUGGUGAAGUGCACUGCACGCCGCGGAUCAGAGACCACUGUGUGGAAUACAGUGAGCAAGGAGUGUACUACAGCCAUGCCGGCGAUAGCAACCCGCAGAGAUGGGAGUUGCUCGAUGGGGCCGCCCUGCCGGAGAGGAAGGGAAAGACCUUGGCCCCCGGCGGUGUUGACAUGGUGGAAGGUGGCGGGGCGGGUGGAUCCAGCGGAGGAAGGGCCAGGAAGGUCGGUGAUGCAGGGCUGCCGUGGAUCCGAGGGCGCCGGCGCGGAACAGGUGAAGGUCGAUGAUGUAGGGCCGCUGCAGAUCCAGGGGUGGGAAGGAUGGAUCCAGCCAUGGCGGCUAGCAGGAGGUCACCAGGGAUCCAGGGAGUCGGGAGCGGAGCCAUGGCGUGGGGUGGACGACGGCCGGGCGCGUGGUGGUGCUCGCCAGGACCGGCGGCGCCUCCGGUUCCUGACCGACGAUGGUUUGGGGCGGAGGGGCUGGCAACCACCAGGGAUCCAGGAAGGGGUUGUGUCCCGUUCUGGUGCGAGAGGAAGGUGGCUAAGGGGCGGCGGGUCUGGNNNNNNNNNNNNNNNNNNNNNNNNNNNNNNNNNNNNNNNNNNNNNNNNNNNNNNNNNNNNNNNNNNNNNNNNNNNNNNNNNNNNNNNNNNNNNNNNNNNNNNNNNNNNNNNNNNNNNNNNNNNNNNNNNNNNNNNNNNNNNNNNNNNNNNNNNNNNNNNNNNNNNNNNNNNNNNNNNNNNNNNNNNNNNNNNNNNNNNNNNNNNNNNNNNNNNNNNNNNNNNNNNNNNNNNNNNNNNNNNNNNNNNNNNNNNNNNNNNNNNNNNNNNNNNNNNNNNNNNNNNNNNNNNNNNNNNNNNNNNNNNNNNNNNNNNNNNNNNNNNNNNNNNNNNNNNNNNNNNNNNNNNNNNNNNNNNNNNNNNNNNNNNNNNNNNNNNNNNNNNNNNNNNNNNNNNNNNNNNNNNNNNNNNNNNNNNNNNNNNNNNNNNNNNNNNNNNNNNNNNNNNNNNNNNNNNNNNNNNNNNNNNNNNNNGAGAAGGUGGGUCGGGGUGGGGGGCUGUUGCCGGCAGAAGGAGGCAGGUGGGGCGGGGGCUUUUUUUUGUUUUUGUUUUGAGGCAGCUCGGGUCAGACGGGGGUGUUAUCAGAAUAAGCUAGUGUUAUCAAAAUAAGAGACUUAGAGGGUGUUAUCAUAAUAGACCCACCCUAUAUAUAUAUAUAUAUAUAUGUGUGUGUGUGUGUGUGUGUGUGUGUGUGUGUGUGUGUGUGUGUGUGUGUGUAUACAGACGGUCUAUUCUGCUAAUAUUAGCAGAAUAGCUAUUCUGCACACCACUUCGGCACUGCACGCUCAACAGAAGCGCACUGCAUCAUUUUGACGACGAGCACUGCAACAGAGACUAGUGAACUUCGUGUCGAAAAAAAUUGCACGCGGUGUUUUUUCGGUACUGUUUUCGCUCUAAUUUUUUAACCGUUUAUCGGAAUGAGGCAUGUAAUAUACCAUUAAAAAGCUAUGGAUUAGGCGCAACUUCGACAUCUUGAACAUUUUUCGAGAUUCCACACGGUUUAAGAGCAGUUUUGAAAAUAGUGCGGCGGAUGACGAGUGGCAGCGUGCGUGUUUUCGCGUUUUUUUUCUAAACCACUUGUCGGAAUGAAGCAAAUGAUACGCCCUUUCAAAUAUAUCAUCGAGGCGCAUCUUUUUCGUAUAUAAAUCUUUCUCUAAUUCAUUACGGUUUAAGAGCAGUUUCAAAUUUACUAAAUCGCGGAAUUCUGUUUUCAAAUUUUUUCAAAUUUUUGGUACUGUUUUCGCUCUAGUUUUUGUACCGUUUGUCGAAACGAGGCGUGUAAUACGUUGUUGGAAAGCUAUGGACAAGGCGCAACUAUCAUAUGUAGGAAUGGUUUUGAGAUUGCUUACAGUUUUAAGUUAAUUUUGAAAAUCGUGCGGCGGAGGACGAGUGGCAGCGGCCGUUUUUUUUGAAAUUUUUACAAACCGGUUGUCUAAAUGAUUCAAAUGAUAUGCCGUUGGAAAGAUAUCGACGAGACGCAACUUUUUCAUGUAGAACACACUCUCUAAUUCCUUACGGUUUAAGAGCAGUUUUAAAAUUAGCAAAAAGCGGACACUGUUUUUUUGUGACACCAAAAUCGUCGUUGGACAAAAAAACGCACUGCUUCAAACUGAAAACCGCACUGCAACAAACAGUCAAGAGAACUUCAUGAUUUCUUUUGUCAAACAUAAAUUUUCUCGCACAAGUUUUUGUUGUCUUUUUUUCAACUUUUUUUCGAACGAGAGUGGACCACAACACUUCCGAAAGUGAACCGUAACACUACCAAAAGUGAACCACAUGAGUACUUGUUGUCUUUUUUAUACUUAUUAAUUUUUUAUGCGCGUUGACCAAGCGAGUGGACCUUUCAUCGGACAGAAGAACGCACUGCUUCAAACGGAAACCGCACUGCAGCAGGCAGCCAAGUGAACUUCAUGAUUUCUUUUUGUCGGACAUAAACUUUCUCGCAAAAGUUUUUGUUGUCUUUUUUCAACUUUUUUUUGAACGAGUGUGGACCGCAACACUCGCGAAAAUGAACCGCAACACUACCAAAAGUGAACCUCAUGAAUUUUGUUGUCUUUUUUCGUACUUAUUAAUUUUUACGCACGUUGACCAAGCAAGUGGACCUCAGGGAUUGAGCGAGUAAACUACAUCUAAUAUAGAAGCGAGCUUUUUUGUUGAGAUCUUUUUUGUUUUGUGUUUACCAAGUGGACAACAAAGGAUUUUUAUAGCAUAUAGAAUAUGCACUCUCCACAAGCCAAAUCACGGUAAUAAACUGCAGUUUUUACAAUAAACUAAUGCAGUGCACUUUUUAACAACAACAAAAUUGAGUACCAGGGCAUCCAAUAGAACUACAUCACUUCAUCCUUUGUGACCGCACGCGCAAGCCUGUGCACCGUUGAACUCCACAAAUGCUUGUGAGCUGCACCCAAACCAGCAAAGAGCUGCAUGCAUUAACAUGGUCAAACUGAAACAUACAGCAAGAUGACUACUAAAAAAAGACAUAACAAGAUGAACUACUUAAAAAAAGUAUGAUACCGGCCACCCCUAGUGCAGUGCACUUGUCCUCUGCUUCCCGCGAACAACAAGGAGUGGAGGAGGGAGCUGCAAGUGAGGUUCGUCGCCCAGACGCCUGGCAAGCUGCACGGCACAAUCGCCUGCACUGCAUGCCACGCUCGUCCACACUGCAUGUAGUGCUCGCCGAAAAGGGGUGACCCAUCAGUUGGUAGGACGGUAGGACCUGCAAGCACACACGCCGGCACCCGACAAGUUGCAUGCCCUCUAGGGAGGGUGGAGAGGAGCAGGAAAUAGGAUGCAUGCAUGCAGCAGUGAGGCACCCACAAAACUACAGGAGAUUGGCUACCUGUCAACAGCGAGCAAAACAGUUAAACACCUUCGAUCCCCAAUACAUGCAGAAUUCACCACCACGAGAACCAAAUUCAACAAGAAAGACGGACACGAGAUGCAAGAUGACCAAGAACCUACUCGAUUUUUUGCAGAAGAGAGGUGCUCGAAGGGGAUGAAGGAUCUCGCCAGAGGAAGGACGACAAGACACCGAACGACACACGCGCGUGCCUACGAGCUGCGUGUCAUGCUUGCCCGGACUGCAAGCUGCUGUCGCCAGAACCUCGGCCCCAAUGGACCUAGCUCCUUCACACCUACCGGUCAUCUUUUCUGCAUCAUCUAUCUUUUCUACAAAAAAAGAGUAAAAUGAACCUCAAGAGCAAAACUACAGUGGACUGCAUUUGCACUUUUAUUUGUCUUUAGAAGAACACAAAAAUGCAAAUCUCAUCGAUGGGAACAGCAAACUGCAGUGCGCUGAUUUUCCUCCAAAAAACAAAAAAGUGAACUGCAACAACCUCAAAACAAUGGUGUGGUUUGUUGUUCGUCAGUGGGGAGAAAGCAGGGGAGGCCGGUGCAUCGGGGAAAUCUCUAGGCCAGGAGGGCGGGCUGCAGCGGAGCCGGUGGUGGACCUCAUGUGGGUAGGUGAGGUGAGCCCCUGCCUUGAUCUGGCAUCUGCGGAUGCAGAUCCAAGCGUCGGCGUGGGCGUGGGGUUGGAUCAGGUCGGCGUAGAGGUCAACGGCCGUCGGGGAGGCGGAUCUAGGCGUGGGGGACGGGAUCCUCCCGUGGCCGCCGGCGUCGAUGCAAGGCAGGGUGGCACGAGCCCAGCACGCCGGUGAUGCAGGGCAGGACAGCGCCAGCCCAGGCCGCCGAUGGGUGGGUCGACGGCCGACUCGGGGUAGGGCGGCGCCCAGCAGAUGUGGAUCGGGGGACAUGAGGGAGAGAGGUGCGGCGCCGCCAUGGGGGGAGGUGGAUCGNNNNNNNNNNNNNNNNNNNNNNNNNNNNNNNNNNNNNNNNNNNNNNNNNNNNNNNNNNNNNNNNNNNNNNNNNNNNNNNNNNNNNNNNNNNNNNNNNNNNNNNNNNNNNNNNNNNNNNNNNNNNNNNNNNNNNNNNNNNNNNNNNNNNNNNNNNNNNNNNNNNNNNNNNNNNNNNNNNNNNNNNNNNNNNNNNNNNNNNNNNNNNNNNNNNNNNNNNNNNNNNNNNNNNNNNNNNNNNNNNNNNNNNNNNNNNNNNNNNNNNNNNNNNNNNNNNNNNNNNNNNNNNNNNNNNNNNNNNNNNNNNNNNNNNNNNNNNNNNNNNNNNNNNNNNNNNNNNNNNNNNNNNNNNNNNNNNNNNNNNNNNNNNNNNNNNNNNNNNNNNNNNNNNNNNNNNNNNNNNNNNNNNNNNNNNNNNNNNNNNNNNNNGGUGGCGCGGGAUGGUGGCCGGCGUGGGGUGGUUCGUCGCCAGGGCGGGUGGCUCCGUGGUGGUUGGGGUCGGGGGGUGGGGGAAGCCCCGUUGACCAGGUGGAGAGUAGCGAGGUGGGGGUGUUUAUUUUUUAUUGCCUGCGCGGUUUGGUUCGGGUUUCGUCGUUGUGUGGAAGUGUUAGCAGAAUAAGGCUAGUUGAUGUGCAGAAUAAGGUCUUAAGGGUGUUAUCAUAAUAGACCCACCAUAUAUAUAUAUAUAUAUAUAUAUAUAUAUAUUCCUCCGACUAUGAGAUUAUGCAACUCCCGGACACCGGAGGAAUGCCUUGUGUGCUAUCGAACGUCACAACGUAACUGGGUGAUUAUAAAGAUGCUCUACAGUAUCUCCGAAGGUGUUUUUUGGGUUGGGAUAGAUCGAGAUUAGGAUUUGUCACUCCGAGUACCGGAGAUGUAUCUCUGGGCCCUCUCGGUAAUGCACAUCAUAUGAAGCCUUGAAAGCAAUGUGACUAAUGAGUUAGUUACAGGAUGAUGCACUACGGAACGAGUAAAGAGACUUGCCAGUAACAAGAUUGAACUAGGUAUGAGGAUACCGACGAUCGAAUCUCGGACUGGUAACAUAUUGAUGACAAAGGAAAUAACGUAUGUUGACAUUGCGGUUCGACUGAUAAAGAUCUUCAUAGAAUAUGUGGCAACCAAUAUGAACAUCCAGGUUCCACUAUUGGUUAUUGACCGGAGAAGUGUCUCGGUCAUGUAUACAUAGUUCUCGAACCCGUAGGGUCCGCACGCUUAACGUUAAAUGAUGAUAUGUAUAAUAUGAGUUAGGUUUUUUGGUGUCUAAAGGUUGUUUGGAGUCCCAGAUGAGAUCACGGACAUGACGAGGAGUCUCGAAAUGGUUGAGAGGUUAAGAUUGAUAUAUUGGAAGCUUAUAUUCGGACAUCGGAGUUGUUCCAGAGAGGUUCGAAUAUUUUUUGGAGCACCGAGGGGUUACCGGAACCCCCCGGGAAGUAAUAGGCUUUACUGGACCAUAGGGGAGUGGAGAUGCAGGCCAUGAGGUGGUGGUUCCCCACCAUAGGGAGUCCGAAUUGGACUAGGGGAGGGGGCGCGACCCCCCUUUCCCUCUUCCUCUCCCCCUAUUUCCCCUUUCCCCUCUGUUGGAAGGAAGGGGGCAACUAGGACUAGGAGUAAUAGUAGGACUCCCCCCACUUGGCGCGCCACCUUGGGCCGGUAGCCUCCCCUCUCCUCCUUUAUAUACGAGGGCAGGGGGCACCCCAAAGCACAACAGUUGUUUCUUAGCCGUGUGUGGUGUCCCCCUCCACCUUUUACUCCUCUAGUCAUAUUGUCAUAGUGCUUAGGCGAAGCCCUGCGCAGAUCACAUCACAAACACUGUCACCAUGCCGUCGUGCUGACGAAACUCAUGGACUCCUUCGUGCCUCUACUGGAUCAAGAGUUCGAGGGACCUCAUCAAGCUGAAUAUGUGCAGAACUUGGAGGUGACUUACGUUCGGUACUUGAUCGGUUGAUUCGAGAAGACGUUCGAGUACAUCAACCGCGUUAAGUUAACGCUUUCGCUUUCGGUCUACGAGGGUACGUGGACACCCUCUCCCCCUCUCAUUCCAAUGCAUCUCCUAGAUAGAUCUUGCGUGAGUGUAGGAUUUUUUUUGAAAUUGCAUGCUACGUUCCCCAACAAUUUAGAGAAAUUAAAAUCAUGAGACAUAUCCCCUAAACCAACAGUAACAAUAUCUUUCUCGCGGUCUAUCUUAGCAUUAAUAGUAUUCAAGAAAAGUCUAGCAAAUAUAAUGGGACACAAAUCAUAUUGUGGGGAACCAAGAACAAGAAAAUCAAUAGGGUAUUUUAUUUUCCCACACAAGACUUCGACAUCUCUAACUAUCCAAAUUGGUGAUAUAGUAUCUCUAUUGGCAAGCUCAAUAGUAACAUCAAUAUCUUCUAUCUCAAUAGGUGCAAUAUCAUUCAUAAUUUCUUGGUAUAAGGUAUAAGCUAUUGCACUCACAGUAGCACCCACAUCACAUAAGCCAUGAUAACAAUGAUCUCCUAUUUUAACAGAAACAACAGGCAUGCCAACAACUAGUCUAUGUUUAUCUUUAGUAUUGGGUUUAGCAAUCCUAGCAGCUUCAUCACAGAAAUAAAUAACAUGCCCAUCAAUAUUAUCAACCAAGAGAUCUUUAACCAUAUCAAUACUAGGUUCAACUUUAAUUUUCUCGGGGGGUGUAGGCGUUCUCAUAUAACUCUUAUGAACCACAGUUGAAGCUUUAGCAUGAUCCUUCAUUCUAACAGAAAGGGUGGUUUCUCAAUAUAAGCAGUAGGAAUAAUAGGAUCGAUAUUAUAAGUAAUGGUUUCUUCUUCUACCUUAGUGGGUUAUACUACUUUUACUUCAGUGGGAGGAUGAUAUUUAAACCACUUCUCCUUAGGGAGAUCAACAUGAGUAGCGAAUGAUUCAUAGAAAGAAGCUACUAUCUCAGAGUCAAGUCCAUAUUUAGUGCUAAAUUCACGAAAGGCAUCAGUAUCCAUAAAAGAUUUAACACAAUCAAACUUGAGGUUUAUACCUGACUCCUUACCUUCGUCGAGUUCCUAAUCUUCAGAGUUGCAUUUAAUUCUUUCCAAUAAAUCCCAUUUGAAUUCAAUAUCCUUCUUCAUAAAGGAAGCGGUACAAUAAGUAUCGAGCAUGGAUCGAUCAUUAUGAGAAGUCGAGCAUAAAAAUUGUGAAUAAUAAUUUCUCUUGAGAGCUCACGAUUGGGGCAUGAAUAUAACAUAGACUUAAGCCUCCCCCAAGCUUAAGUGAUACUUUUUCAUUCAUGAGGCCAAAAAUUAUAUAUAAUUUUGAUCACGAUGAACCAGAUGCAUAGGAUAAAACUUCUGAUGAAAUUCCAAUUUCAAUCGGUUGUAGUUCCAUGAUCCAAUAUCAUCACAUAGCCUAUACCAUGUUAAUUUCUUUACCUUCAAAUAUAAAGGGAAGACCUUCUUCUUGAUUUCAUCCUCGGGUAAACCUGCAAGUAAUCCACAAACUUCAUCCACAUAGAUUAGGUGCAUAUCAGGAUGUAAUGUUCCAUCUCAUGCAUCAGGAUUAGCAAGCAAUUUCUCUAUCAUACCCGAAGGAAUUUCAUAAUAAAUAUUUUCAGUAGGUCCAGUAGGUUGAGGAGCAACUCUUUGUUCUUCCAGACGAGGUGAAGAUACCCCGAACAAGCCCCUCAAAGGAUUAUUUUCCAUAGUAACAAGUGACAGUAAAUUUCAGCACACUAUAUAAAUGUUUCCUUACCAAAUUCCACUUACCAAAGGCGCUUCACUCCUCGGCGACGGAGCCAGAAAAUAGUCUUCAACACCCACAAGUAUAGGCGAUCUAUCGUAGUCCUUUCGAUAAGUAAGGGUGUCGAACCCAACGAGGAGCAGAAGGAAAUAACAAGCGGUUUUCAGCAAGGUAUUCUCUGCAAGCACUGAAAUUAUCGGUAACAGAUAGUUUUGUGAUAAGAUAAUUCAUAACGGGUAACAGCAACAAAAGUAACUAAGAUACAACAAGGUGGCCCAAUCCUUUUUGUAUCAAAGGACAAGCCUGGACUAACUCUUAUAUAAAGCAAAGUGCUCCCGAGGACACAUGGGAAUUACUAUCAAGCUAGUUUUCAUCGUGCUCAUAUGAUUCGCGUUCGUUACUUUGAUAAUUUGAUAUGUGGGUGGACCAGUGCUUGGGUGUUGUCCUUCCUUGGACAAGUCUCCCACUUACGAUUAACCCCUCUCACUAGCAUCCGCAACUACGAAAGAAUAAUUAAGAUAAAUCUAACCAUAGCAUGAAACAUAUGGAUCCAAAUAGCCCCUUACGAAGCAACGCAUAAACUAGGGUUUAAGCUUCUGUCACUCUAGCAACCCAUCAUAUACUUAUUAAUUCCCAAUGCCUUCCCCUAGGCCCAAAUCAUGGUGAAUUUUCAUGUAGUCGACGUUCACAUAACACCACUAGAGGAGAGACAACAUACAUCACAUCAAAAUAUCGAACGAAUACCAAAUUCACAUGACUACUUAUAACAAGACUUCUCCCAUGUCCUCAGGAACAAACAUAACUACUCACAAAGCACAUUCAUGUUCAUAAUCAGAGGAGUAUUAAUUAUCAUUAAGGAACUGAACAUAUGAUCUUCCACCAAAUAAACCAACUAGCAUCAACUACAAGGAGUAAUCAACACUACUAGCAACCCACACGUACCAAUCUAAGGUUUUGAGACAAAGAUUGGAUACAAGAGAUGAACUAGGGUUUGGAGAGGAGAUGGUGCUGGUGAAGAUGUUUAUGGAGAUUGACCCCCUAUCGAUGAGAGGAUCGUUGCUGAUGACGAUGGCUUCGAUUUCCCCCUCCUAGUGGGAAGUUUCCAAAGCAGAACAGCUCCGCCAGAGCCCUAGAUUGGUUCUGCCCAGGUUCCGCCUUGAGACGGCGGCGCUUCGUCCCGAAAUCUUCCUUCUGAUUUUUUUUCCAGGUCAAAACACACCAUAUAGCACAAGAUGGGCAUCGGGGGCCUGCCUGGUGGCCCAGAAGGCAGGGGGCGCGCCCAGGGGGUAGGGCGCGCCCUCCACCCUUGUGGAUUGCAGGUGGCCCCCCUCUGGUGCUUUCUUCGCCCAAUAUUUUUUAUUAAUUCCAAAAUGACUCUCCGUGAAGUUUCAGGACUUUUGGAGUUAUGCAGAAUAGGUCCCUAAUAUUUGCUCCUUUUCCAGCCCAGAAUUCCAGUUGACGGCAUUCUCCCUCUUCAUGUAAACCUUGUAGAAUAAUAGAGAAACGGCAUAAGUAAUGUGCUAUAAUGUGUAAUAAUAUCCCAUAAUGCAAUAAAUAUCGAUAUAAAAGCAUGAUGCAACAUGGACGUAUCACUUAUUUCUUAAAAUAUAUGGCCAACUUUUGCCCAACACCUAUGCGUUUCAGUGAACUGUGUGGUUCAUACAAUUUCAUAUGGUAUUCGCGCUUAUGAUUAUUCUAGCAUUAUGUUUAAAAGUAUCUAGUUGCAAGGUGUGGAAGUUAUACAAACUAUUAUCUACUAGACAAUCUUGAUUAGUACAGGAACCAAUGCACGCAUAUGCAUGACCUAGGGGCAUCUUUGAGUAACUUCUAAAAAACAUUUUCUCAGACAACAAAAUUAUUCAUGAGAACACUGAUGUUGGCAACGGCUAUAAUAUCAUUUGGUAUGAGUUUGAUUGUCACAUCACAACCUCUUCAUGCUUGAGGGAGAAGUAAGAUCUCACAUAGUACUUGCUUGUUGUGGACAGUUGGCGACAUGCAGUGUGAGAGGUAGAGAUUGGUUUGGGAAGGUUGCCUCAUGCUCAUCCUUGGAGUCCGGCACCACUAUAUAUACCUCGGUAUAUACUAGUAAAAUUACAUGUGAUAGAUACAAUAACGAUGAGAGAGAGAGAGACAUAUAUACUGGUUGGAUUACAAGGGAAGGUUACAACUGAAUAACCAAAAGAUCUGCCUUAUCCUAACAUUUCAUAGCCCCUCUCAAUCUCAGCUCCUUGAGGUUGAGAUUAUGGAGAAACUUAUGAAGUAAUGGAACAAAAGUCUUGGUAAAGCCAUCCACUAGGUCAUCUGGCCGAACAAACCUAACAUCAAAUGUUUUUUCAUGCAACCUGCUCAAGCACAAAGUGAAAGUCAAUUUCUAUGUAUUUUAUCCUUGCAGGCAAGACUAGGUUUGUUGACAAAUAUGUGGUGCCGAGGGUCGGGUGGUAGGUGUGACAUAUGCCAAAGGAUGGGUAAUCAUAGUGGGAGCCAGUAAGACAUCGCCGGUGCCUGGAAACAUGAUAAGGCGAAGACAUGCACGCCGGUGAAUCUUACCCAGGUUUGGGGCUCUCCUAGGAGAUAACACCCCUAGUCCUGCUCUGCGGGGUCUCCGCAUGAUCACUAAAUCAGUAAGUAGCUACAAGAGGCUCCUUGAGCUGUUUGGCUAGGGGAAGAAGAAGGGCAGGGCUAGCUCUCCUCUUCUCUCUAUGUGGUGUGUGUAGUUUUAAUGGAUCAACCCUUUGCAUGGGUGCCCUGGGGGGUUUAUGUAGGCCUACCCCCCAAGGGUACAAUGGUAAUCUGACUGGGUGUGGGCCCAGACCGUCAGUGUCUAUGGGCGCCGGCUUCUCUGCCGGCCGCUAGGGCCCGCCGACUGGUGGGUCCCGCCGGCUGCUGGCCUCUUGGCCGACCGGCUGGGCCCACUGCCUGUGGACCCUGUCGGCUUCUUAUUACUGAAGCCUCGCCCCUGGUGACGAUAGCUUUGUCGGGGCAAGCAUGGCUAUAGUGCCGCCGCCUGGCGGGCAUUUAUUGUAGCCUUACCCCGUCUUAUCUUCUUAAUGGUGCACAAACUUCUAGGGCGAGGGCAGGCCGGCUGUUGGGAGCCGGCCUCCCCCCGUGCCGACUAGUCAGGUCAACCGCCUUCUGGUGGCUCUCUAGCAGGAGGGGCCCACUGCCUGUGCGCCGUACUGAUAGCUUGUCGUGGGUGAUGUCAUGGUAAACAUGGCAAUAGUGCCGUGUCGGGCGAGGAAUGGCCGCCCGGUCGGGUGCACUGUGGCCAUGCUCGCUCCGGGGUUUGGGGGUGGAGGCUUCAUUGUAGCCACGCCUCGUCUUGUCGUUGUUAUGUGGGUGCAAACUUUGAGGGUGUAUGUCAGGCCGCCUGCUAGGAGUCGGCCGCUCUGGUGUCCACCUGCUAGGAGUCGGCCCGCUUUGGGAUGGCUUGCUGAACCUUGCCGCCUUCCCGUAGCCAGCCACUAGACCAACCGGCCAUGAGAAGGCGGCCCUUCGUCUUGGAUGCUUGAGGGCGCAGUCGGCUCGUUUAUUUUGAAGAACCAGGGGGAGCGGAUAAGGCUACCCAUGGUUAUUUACUCCGACAGUAGUCCCCGAAGCUUGUGGGGCUUCGCGGUUGAAAGAAGAGCAAGAAGCCCAAUCAGCUUCCUACUCUGAGGAGCCGACAGCUAGGAGUCGACCAUAUCCAACUGCGCUGUCUGAAAUAUUUUGAAGUCCGGAGGCAGGAACCAGAUAGUUCGCGCACCGGGCGUCGGGCCGGCAGCCGGCUGCCCGCGUGCCAUGCAGCGUGUGCUAGACGAGCCAGCCUGCCAGCCCACGCGCGUGACGGGACGUUGCUGUAGGCUGGGGCCCGCCACUAUAGCGCCUUGGCCCACGCACGGAUCCGCUAUGGCCGAGGCAUGCGGUUGGUAUUCUGGGGCGGUUAAUACAUGCCUUUACUGGCACGAUAAACACGGGUUCGUGGGGGAGUGGGUGCAGUUAAUCCCACGCCCCUCCCCCCCUCCACGCCCUGCCCCCUCAGCUUUGUAGUUCUGGGGCUAUAAGUAGGGAGGAGGGGGAGCGGCGGACGCAUGCACGCCCUCCUCCUCCUUCGCCAUUCUUCUUCUUCAUCCUUCUCCUGCCGCCGCUGCUGUCCGCCGCCGCGUCGUGCUUCUAGCCUCCCCGUUGCACUAUGAUUCACCAUCGCGGGGCCGCGCACACGUUGUCGUGGCGCUCCUUCGUCAAGCUUCUCGUCCUCAUGGCGCGCGCCAGAGCAUGGGAUGGCUCCAACGUCCACGAGGACCGCAUUGACUUCCUCCACCGGACGCGGCGGCUGCCCGGAGAGGACUUCAUGAAGGUUCGCCUGGCGCCAAAACGGGAGAUCUCGCCGGCAUCGGAAGAGGGCGAGCGCGUCAUCUUCCGGUCGCACUGCUUGCGCAGCCUCGGCUUGCUGGUGAGCGGCUUCUUCCGUGCCUUCCUCGAUUUCUACGGCCUUCAGCCACACCACCUUACACCGAACACGGUGGUGCUGCUGUCCGCCUUCGUCACCCUCUGCGAGGGCUUUCUCGGUGUCCUCCCCACCCUCAAGCUUUGGGGCGAGUUCUUUUACCCGAUGCUCGGCACCAUCAUCAAGAGGGUGGCGGCACAGUGUGGCGCUUUUGUCGCAGUGCGGAGGUCGGCUGCCGACAACCCGUUCCCGCCCAUCACGCUGAUCCAGUCGGUGAAGAUGUGGCAGUAGUCAUACUUCUAUGUGAAGAGCAUCCACCCGGAGGGCGAUUGGGUUAAUCUGCCGGCCUACGCAGCCGGCCCGCCGACUGGAAUGUGGACCAACUAGUCAUACAGUCCCAGGACGCUGUCGGUCUCCGGCGCUGCCGCCGUUGCGCGGCUCAGGGUGAUGGUGAAGUCAGAGGGCCUCACCGGGCCCGACUUGCUGACCGCCUUUGUGGCGCGCCGGGUGCUCCCCCUCCAAGGUCGGCCGCACAUGAUAUGCCAAAUGAGCGGGCCCCGGGACCCUAGUCGGAUGUGCACCAAGGAUAUGUUGUACUCGAAGGUGGCUCACUUGGUGAAUUAUAUUUUCAACUACAAGCUCUCGGAGGCGGAGUGGCGGUUCGGCAAGGAGCCGUAAUCACACGCGAAUCCGACGAUGGUAAGUUUUUAUUUCUUCUUUUUCCUUUGGUUGCCGAGUACUCUUGGGCCGUCUUGACCAGUCGGCUGUGAAACAGAGCGCCCUUCUCCAGCCACCAGCCGGCGCCUCAGGGCCGGAGCGUGUGUUCCUCCCCGACCGGGAGGUGAGUGACAUGGAUGACCCUGACCUGGGGGCGGCCGCCCUGGAGGACGACACCGCGGGGGCGGCUCAGGAGUCGGGGGCGGCCUCGAGGACUGGCCUGACGAUGCUGACGAAGAGGUCAUCCCAUGCCGCCAGCCGGCGUCCGACCAAGUGGGCAUGAGCUCAUCUGCCAUGCCGGCUGCCCGAGGUAGCGUGCAGAAGCGCCGGGCCGCACCGUCGAUGUACGGCAGCCAACCAAAGAAGCCCAAGAGCUCGGCCGCGGCGACCAAACAGGAGGAAGCGGCCGCAAAGGCGACCCGCUUUCGCAAGGUCGUGAAGGAGCCCAAAUGGUUUCUGCGUAAGUGCCGGCUCCUUAACACAUUCUUUCCACUUUCUUGCAAAUGUUCAUCUGAGUUUUUCUUCUUCUUGCUCAAACAGGGCUCUGCUCUCUCUUGAGUGGUCGGCUACCGCCUCCGUGGUUGGGAUGGCGGGGGGCUCCGCCAGCGCCCACCGCGUGGACCCGCACGCCGAGCUUCAGGCGGCGACGGAGAGGAACGCAUGGGAGGCGCGUGAGGAGCAGGAGGCAGAGUGGCUACCGCAAAGGCUGCGUAGGAGGCGGCGGACGAGGACGCGAGGGCGCAGGACGACAUCGCGGCCAAGGCCCAGGCGGACGCCGCGGACGCAGCGUAGGCGGGGAAGGCCUUACGCGGCCAAGCCCCAUAGCUCGUCAUCCCCCUCUGCGCUGUGGCGCCUGUGCCUGAGGUCUCGGUGGUGCCGCCAGAAGGAGCCGGCGGCGACCAGCCAGAUAUGGAGACGGAGGGGGGCGACGGCGUCGCCUCGGAGAUGGAGGUGACUCCGCUAGCUCCAACUGUGGCGGACCAAGGCGGCCAGCACAACGCGCCACCCGUGCCGCCAGCUGGAGGUGAGCCGGCUGCAGGGCGGACCUCGUGAUCCAGUCUUCGGCACGCCAGUGCGCGGGGAAGGAGGCCUAGGCGCCGCACCCGCGGAGGGCCAGGGGCUCUGGCAUGUCGACCCAGGAGUUGGAGGCAGCGAGCGUCAGCUCGCCGGACUAGACGCCAAGGGGAGGGAUGGCCGUGCUGAACGAGGCGGCACAGGACGUCUAGACCCGGCUUCAGUCUCAGGCCAACGCCCUGAAGAACUUCAACCGGGAGUUCCUGGCGACGCGGACGGCCAUCCGGGUGAGCCUCUUGAUCUUUUGCUUUUUGUUCUUGUAUUCCUCCGUGGGGGUGCGUCAGUGCACCCACUGGGUGUAGUCCCCGAGUUCUGGGUCGGCUGCUGAGCAGGCGGCCUGGAACUUCUAAGUAGACUUGGGUGCUGACUUGUCUUCUUUUAUUUGUCUGUCCUUUUUGUAGGACUAUCAUAACCUCCGCGCGGCCGCCUUCAACUCCCAUGUCCAGGAGCAGACUCAACGGACUGCCGACCCGUUUGAAAGUUGGAGUGAGUAUUCCGUCUUCUUUAUCCCGUGGGGGCGCGUCAGCGCACCCACUGGGUGUAGUCCCCGAGAUUUGGGCCGACUGCUGAGCAGUCGGGCCGGAUCUCUUCUGGCGACUUCUUGCUUAUUGAUUGUUCUUCUUUGUUGUCUUUGCAGAGGCCAAUGCCACCCUGCAGCAGCAACUGGGUGAGUCCCAGACCACGCUGCGUGCCAAGGAGGCGGAGUGCAGUACGGUGGCUCAGGAAUGCGACCGCCUGGUCAAGCAGCUAGCUGACCAGGAGAAGAGUCACAAAGCGGCUCUCCAGGCGGUGAAGGACAGCUAGGCCGCCCUCCAACCGAGUAUGAGACCCAGGCGGUGAACUGGGCCGAGUCACAGCAGGCGCUGAACGACGGCUACGGCCAAAUCAAGGACAUGGUUGAUGAUAAGUUGCCUUCUUCCUUUUCCCUUUGUUUACCGCCUGUUGUUUGGUCCGGCUUCUGACUUUGUAUUCUCUUUUUCUUCUUUGCACGGAGUACUUCCCUGGCUACUCCAUUGCCACCAGCCAGGUCAUCGAGGCCCACCGCAACGUGCGGAGGCAGGCUGGUGCUGAGAUCACAUCGAACGCUCGCCGGACACUUGAGGAGCAGCUCUUGGCCAUCCAAGCCCGUCUCCAGCCGGCCCACCGGGUGAUGCAGCAAUAGUAGCGUAAGUAUUUCCCUUAGUUUUUGACAACCAAGGUAUCAAUCUAGUAGGAGGCUCCUCAAAAGUCCCACGCACCUACACAAACGAACAAAGAACUCGCAACCAACCCAAUAAAGGGGUUGUCAAUCCCUUCACAGCCACUUGCGAAAGUGAGAUCUUAUAGAGAUAGUAUGAUAAGAUAAAUAUAUUUUUGGUAUUUUAUAAUAUAGAUAAGAAAAGUAAAGAUGCAAAUAAAAGUAGAUUGAAAGCUUAUAUGAUAAAAGAUAGACCCGGGGCCAUAGGUUUCACUAGUGGCUUCUCUCAAGAUAGCAUAAGUAUUACGGUGGGUGAACAAAUUACUGUCAAGCAAUUGAUAGAAAAGCGAAUAAUUAUGAGAUUAUCUAGGCAUGAUCAUGUAUAUAGGCAUCACGUCCGUGACAAGUAGACUGACUCCUGCCUGCAUCUACUACUAUUAUUCCACACAUCGACCGCUAUCCAGCAUGCAUCUAGAGUAUUAAGUUCAUAAGAACAGAGUAAGGCAUUAAGAAAGAUGACAUGAUGUAGAGGGAUAAACUCAAGCAAUAUGAUAUAAACCCCAUCUUUUUAUCCUCGAUGGCAACAAUACAAUACGUGCCUUGCAACCCUACUGUCACUGGGUAAGGACACCGCAAGAUUGAACCCAAAGCUAAGCACUUCUCCCAUGGCAAGAAAGAUCAAUCUAGUAGGCCAAAUGAAACUAAUAAUUUGAAGAGACUUGCAAAGAUAACUCAAUCAUACAUAAAUGAAUUCAGAGGAGAUUCAAAUAUUUCUCAUAGAUAAACUAGAUCAUAAACCCACAAUUCAUCGGAUCUCGACAAACACACCGCAAAAAGAGUUACAUCGAAUAGAUCUCCACAAGAGAGGGGGAGAACAUGGUAUUGAGAUACAAAAAGAGAGAAGAAGCCAUCUAGCUAAUCACUAUGGACCCGAAGGUCUGUGGUAAACUACUCACAACUCAUCGGAGGGGCUAUGGUGUUGAUGUAGAAGCCCUCCAUGGUUGAUUCCCCCUCCGACGGAGCGCCGACGAAGGCUCCAAGAUGGGAUCUCGCGGAUACAGAAGGUUACAGUGGUGGAAAUUGUUUUUCGUUGGCUCCCUGGAUGUUUUUGGGGUACGUGGGUAUAUAUAGGAGGAAGAAGUAGGUUGGUUGCCGCCCGAGGGGCCCACGAGAUAGGGGGCGCGCCCUGUAGGGGUGGGCGUGCCCUGUAGGGGUGGGCGCGCCCUCCACCCUCGUGGCCGCCUCGGCUGCUACUUGGCUUGCACUCCAAGUCCUCUGGAUCAUGUUUGUUCCAAGAAUCACGCUCCCAAAGGUUUCAUUCCGUUUGGACUCCGUUUGAUAUUCCUUUUCUUCGAAAUACUGAAAUGGCCAAAAAAACAGCAAUACGGGCUGGGCCUCCGGUUAGUAGGUUAGUCCCAAAAAUGAUAUAAAUGUGUAAAAUAAAGCCCAUAAACAUCCAAAACAGGUAAUAUAAUAGCAUGGAACAAUAAAAAAUAAUGGAUACGUUGGAGACGUAUCAAGCAUCCCCAAGCUUAAUUCAUGCUCGUCCUCGAGUAGGUAAAUGAUAAAAACAGAAUUUUUGAUGUGGAAUGCUACCUAGCGUAAUUCUCAAUGUAAUUUUCUUUAUUGUGGCAUGAAUGUUCAGAUCCAAAUGAUUCUAAAUAAAAGUUCAUAUUGACAUAAGAAAUAGUAAUACUUCAAGCAUACUAAUCAAGCAAUCAUGUCUUCUCAAAAUAACAUGGCUAAAGAAAGUUAUCCCUACAAAAUCAUAUAGUCUGGCUGUUGCUCUAUCUUCAUCACACAAAGUAUUUAAUCAUGCACAACCCCGAUGACAAGCCAAACAAUUGUUUCAUACUUUACUAAUCUCAAACUUUUUCAACUUUCACCCAAUACAUGAGCGUGAGCCAUGGACAUAGCACUAUAUGUGGAAUAGAAUGGUGGUUGUGGAGAAGACAAAAAGGAGAAGAUAGUAUCACAUCAACUAGGCGUAUCAACGUGCUAUGGAGAUGCCCAUUAAUAGAUAUCAAUGUGAGUGAGUAGGGAUUGCCAUGCAACGGAUGCACUAGAACUAUAAAUGUAUGAAAGCUCAACGAAAGAAACUAAGUGGGUGUGCAUCCAACUCGCUUGCUCACGAAGACCUAGGGCAUUUUGAGGAAGCCCAUCAUCGGAAUAUACAAGCCAAGUUCUAUAAUGAAAAAUUCCCACUAGUAUAUGAAAGUGACAACAUAGGAGACUCUCUAUCAUGAAGAUCAUGGUGCUAUUUUGAAGCACAAGUGUGGUAAAAAAGGAUAGUAGCAUUGUCCCUUCUCUCUUUUUCUCUCAUUUUUUUCUCUUUUCUCUUUUUUUUCUUCUUUUUUUCUUUUCUUUUUUUUCUUUGUCCUUUCUUUUUUUUCUUUUUGGCCUUUCUCUUUUUUUUCCUUUUUUCUUCUUUUGUAAAGUCCGAAGUCUCAUCCCGACUUGUGGGGGAAUCAUAGUCUCCAUCAUCCUUUGCUCACUAGGACAAAAUAAUGAAGAUCAUCACACUUUUAUUGAUUUACAACUCAAGAAUUACAACUCAAAACUAGAACAAGAUUGUGACCGCCUGGUUUUUGCCCUCCCUUCUUUGCCUGAUUUUCAGUUGAGUUGGUUUUGAAUUUGGAGUUUUGAAUCAUUUCAUUUGGACUUAACCACUUGGGUACCCCUUGAUUUUCACCCAAGUGUUCCCUCUCCUCCUCACAACCAUCAUUUCACCCCUGGUCCAACCCAAAAAUAUUGUUUGGAAUAUUUUUCUUAAAUGAAAAAUAUUCAUUUGGACCUCCAAAACCCUAGCUAACCCUUUGAGCUCCAAAGCAACCCUAAUUUUUCUUGCCCCAAAAAUCCUGAGAAAAAUCCCAAUUAUUCUUUGGACCCUAGGGCACCUUUCUGAGCAAAAAUAUUUAACAACUCAUUGGAAUAUUUUGGCUACAGAAAAUAAAGUCACUUCUGGACAGAAAUGGUAGUUUCUACAGCAACUACCUUUUUACUAGCUCCAUUGUAGCUGGUUUUUCCUGUGCCUAUUUACCUUAGUAAGUGUAAGCAAAACCCCAAAGCUCAACCCUUGACUCCUAGUGGUUUGACCACUGUAACUCUCCAAAGUUACUGUCCAGUAACUUGUCAACGGCCCAAAUUUACUUCUACUACACCUGAAACCUAACCAAACCAUGGUAACAACUCAGUUUACUAAGGACUACACGCCAGCCAUCUUUGUUAGUGCGUGGGGUGGCCUGAUGUCACGGUUCACGUGGUGACCGCGUUCGUUUGAGCGUGCUGGCAUGCAAUACGCGCGCUCUGUGCGUCGCCAGCGCCUCUGUUGAGCGCGUGCUCACUGUUCAGCCGACCAGAGAGUGCCACACCUCGCCACCAUCCUCGUAUCCACCUCCAUAACUCCCCUCUGCCACUCAUCGACGCCGGAGCUCGCUGCAGCGAGCACGGGCACGGUCCGGCCAACGGCAUAGUGCGCGCACACUAUGUUCGUCGCUUUCCCCCUCGCUCCUGUGCUCGUCCGCGCCUGCGCACAGUUCCUGCGUGACCUCCGUCGUUUUCUCCCUCUCUCUCUGGUGCUGUUCGAUGAUAGGCGCCAUGGACAGGUGUCCUCCGGCGGAGCCCGAGCCCUCCACGCCAUCCGCCUAUAAAAGCAGCCACCCGCAGCCUCUUGGAGCACCCACAGCCACUCCUACCUCCUCCACGAGCCAGUAGAAGCCGCAGCCCGGCCGGGCAGGCCGCGGGCUGCUGUCCCGAAGCCGAGCUCGCCUGCGAUCCCCUCCGGAUCAUUCCCGCAGCUCCAGCCACUCCCAAGCCAAGGCGACCCUGCCAGGGCCUCCGCCUCUCCUCCGUGAAGCCAACCCACCCCUCUGGAGCCCCUGGAGCUACCCCAAGCCACCGUCCUCUUCAUCUCCGGCAACCUCUGCCCUCUGCCUCCACUGGAGAGGUUUAUUCCGAUGCCAUCUGGCCACCGCUAGCUACGCUACGGGUACGGGCAGGUGUGCAAACAUCUCCUCCGUCGAUCCUUCCCUCUUGUUUGACUCCAAGAAGCCUCACCGCCGUCGUGAGCUCCGGCGAAGCGCCGCCUCCCUCUGUUUCCCUCUCCCCUCCCUCCGGCCUGACUAGUGGGGCCCGCUAGUCAGCCACUCAUUAUGCACGCGAAGCGGUAUGAGUGGUGGAGCCCCGAGUGUUUACGCUUUCAACGUCACCCCCCUCUGUUUAUUUAUUUCAAAUUCAUUUAAAAUCCAGGAAACUUCAAAUGGCCAUAAAGUUUUAUCUAUAAGUACAAAUGCAUUGAAUCUUUUUGCAUUGUGUUCUGUGUCCAAAAAUCUAACAGCACCCAAAAGAUGGGAUUUUUCCUUGCUGUCUAGAUUUUCUGGUAAUUUUCAGAAGGUUUCUUGAUAUUUUCUUUUUGUUUUGAUUAUUUUCAGAAGAGCCAGCUUGUCUUGAGGAUCACCGGGAGCUUUGUGAACCUCAUCAGCACUAAGGCAAGCCACAGUGACAUGUUCAUAGUGCCACUUCAAUAUUUGUGAUUUUUCUACUUGAACUUAUGAAAAUUUAUGCAUUUAAAAUUAGUUAUAUAAUGAGUAUAUUCUGUUGGAUGCUUGUCAUGUUAAAAUACUUGAACUACAGAAUGUUUGAAGUGAAUUUUGUUGGUAAGCCAAAGAGAACUUAGUUACAAGUAAUGAAUAAAGGAUAUGGUCACAGAGGUUAAUAAUUAGUUUAAUUAUUAUUUUUGCAUGAUGAAAAAUGAUGAGAUUGCUAGAAAUGAUUCUGUUGUAAGUGAGGUGUGAUCUUAACCAGAGUAGUAGCAUGAGUUGAUGAUGGCUCCAUAAGAGCGUGGUUGAUUCUGUUAUUUACAUGGUUAUGUGAUGCAUGUGUUAAGUGAUGCAUAGUAUGACAUUAUGACACCGGUUAUUUUCACAUUAAGUUGAACCUGAUUAAUAACCCAACUUGAAUAUGUUGUUGGCCGGGUCGUGGUGCCGCUGAAACGAGUCUUUCCCAAUGCAACCACAUUUACCGGUAUGGGACGGCCUUAAUGUGUUUCAUUGUCGUGUCUCUGGUCGAUGCCUCCAUUUAGGGAAGGUUAUGGGUGUGAUGUACCCUGGCCCAGUAGGCAAGCAUAACCUUGUGAGCCCAUUGUUAAGUUAAAUUUUGGUAUCGGGUCCCAGAGUGGAUCAUCGCCACGAUGGUGGUCGAGGCGUCUGGAGGUAGACACGGGGCCACCCAGGACUAGACCGAUGGGGUCUGAGUUGGAAUGGCCGGGAGAGUGUCAUGACAAUGAUAUGGUUUCGUCGGAAUGUCAUUGGUCCACCCGAAUGGGAGUGUGAGGCCUAGGGUUCCGUAGAGUGGGUACAGUGUACUAACCUCUGCAGAGUGUUUUUAAUCUAUCGAUAGCCGAGUCCACGGUUACGGACACGCUCGAAAGUAGGGUACACCAUGGGUCAACACUUAACAAAAUUUGCACACUAAAGUUUGCACUAAGGAUGGCAGUGAGGCCAUCGUGUUGAGAUGGACCAUGAGUUGGUCGGGUGGUGAUCGCCGAAAGGAUCACGUGCCAUGAGUUGGUCGGGUGGUGAUUGCCGAAAGGAUCACAAAUGUGUUUUAGAGAUUAUCAUGUUGUGGUCUGGAAAUGAUCAAGUCCGGUAAGCAAGUCCGUGGAACAAGUACCAGUUGACCAUAGUCACAGAAUGUUGGAUAUAUGGUUGCAUUGUUGAUUAAAUGGUUAAAUAUCAUGAUAUUGUUUGUCAUUAUGUUUAUGCUUAUUGUGAGCUUGCAAGUACAUUCAAUGUACUGACCUGACGUGUCAUGCCAGAUUUCAGGAAAGUCUCGUUGGGAAGGAGUGCUGUCCGAGUCUAGACUGUGUCCACAUCGGUGUCCCUGUGCUAUGGAGUCCCGCUACGACGUUAUUCUGCUGCCGAGUAGUUGUCAUGAUCGAGCCCCUUUAUGUUCACUAAAUAAUGUACAUAUUGUUCAACCGCACCAUCUGUGCCACUUGGCCUCGUUAACUGUUGUAAUAUAAACUAUGCUCCGCUAGCAUGAAUAAAGCGGUUGUUUUUCUGUACCAUGUUGUUGUGUGUUGCCAGAAGACAAGGUCUCUGGGCUGGCAAUGCAAGGUAAACCGGUCGCUCUGAGCCGGGGUGCCACAACGCUUGGUACCAGAGCCGCGCUGACUGUAGGCCACGCUAGACUAAGCCGAGUUAACUGGACGUUACAUACGAGUUGUAGCUGAGUGCCGGUAGUAGUUGUAGCUGGUUGUUGCAUUGCAUGCACUGAUUUUAUUUAUGCUAACCUGCUAAUGGUUGUGGGUGUAGAUGGCUCCGGUGCUGUAUCCGUGCCAGUUGCAGCUAAUGUCGUACACGUCGCCGCAUCUCCUUUGUAACAUGUGGCGUCGGCUGUACCCUCACGGAGGCGAUCCAACCUAUCGUGUGUACCGAGAGCGCCUAGCCGACUUAGUGUAUGAGUAUCAUGCCGUGGUUACUCUGCGCGUCAGUUCCGAUUCCAGCUCUUACACUCGUACCUCUCGAAGCAGCUACGCUUCUACCGCUUCUCAGGCUGUCCAAUUUGCUGCAUUAGAGGUACUUGUUGAGCUCCGCUACAACAAGGUCCGGAUGCAGAACCACCCAGGUUUCCAUUACUAUCCUUCUCUCCAUGAUAAUGGCACUGUCCGUUUCCCGGUCAUUGAUCUGGAGUCUGAUAGUGUAGCUAGCCACCUUUCUCGCUACAUCACUGCUAGCUAUCUUCUGAUCUACGAGCUGGCUCGUGAGCUGAGUCGUGCCCGUACUGCCUUAGCCUCUACGUUAGUCUCUGCUUGCUCAGCCACUACUCCACCAUCUGUAGGAUUUACUCCCUAUGUUCCUGACAAUUCUAGAUCCCAUGUUUCUCCGGUUACUCCUCCGAGUAGCUCGGGCACCGCGACUGUGAGUCCACUUAGUGCUCCUGUUGAGUGGGUUUCACUCCUCGCCACUCCUGUAGCCCCGGUGAUCCACCCUCCACCUGCCCCAGAGGGAGAGCCCUCGAGGCAGCGUCGUCGUGUCACUUUUAACCCGGAGGUCUCCGUUAACCCCGUCAGUUCUGGAUCCGAGUCCGCUUCAGAAGAGGACCCCGCAGCACCAGCAGAUCAGUAGAGCUUUCGAGUAUUCGCCGUCGUCGGGAUGGAGUAUGGAUGUAGUCGUACAAGUCAUGAUGUUUCAUUUCAUGUAUAAGGGUAGUUGGACCUGGCAUGUUGUUAUCUUUCAUGUAUGAGUCUAUGUAUAAUUAUGUGGGACUUUAUUUUAUUCGCCGUUUUUUCUUCGCCUUUUCGGUUUCACUUGGAUUUUUGUUGCUGGCUUCCCCCCAGUUUAUGUUGAAUGCUUCUCAUCUCGGUUAUGUUGAUUUGGGAAAAAUCAUAUUAGGAUGACGCGGGGAGGCUGCAGUAGUAACGUUCGCGAGGGUUCUCCUGUUCGGCGUUCCGCACGACAGGCAGGACAAUCACCCGAGCCGUACGUUCCACCACCGCCUCCACCGCCAAAUCCGCCAUCCAUCAAGAAAAUUAUGCGUAUGUUCGAGGAAUGGCGAAAUAUUGAUCUGAUGGAAAUAUUCAGAAGUAUUCAAUCAAUGGUUGGACAGAAUGGAAAUCAGCCUGCCCCUCACUCCAAGUUAUCUGAUUUUCAAAGGACUAAGUCUCCCAGUUUCAGUCAGGCCAUUGAUCCCUUGGAUGCAGAUGAUUGGUUGAGAACUAUGGAAAAGAAGCUUGAGGUUGCUCGAACUGAUGAAGAGGAUAAGGUUCCAUUUGUAACACAUUAUCUCGAAGGCACUGCUGCUAUAUGUGGGAAAAUGAAAAGGCCAUAGGGACUGAUAAUGAAGCAAUUACCUGGUCAAGAUUCAAGGAGCAAUUCUAGAAAUAUCACAUCCCUGCGGGAAUUAUGAAGACUAAGCAGCAUGAAUUUCUCGCGCUCCUCCAAGGAAGUCAGUCAGUGGGAGAAAAUUUUGCAGAAAUUCAAUCACCUGUCAUGUUACUCACACUAUGACGUGGCCACUGAAGAAAGGCAGAUGGACAGAUUUCUUGGUGGAUAAAACCCGCAACUUCGCUGUGCUCUCAGUGUGUUCGAUUUCCCAGAUUUCCAAACCCUGGUGAACAAGGCUUUCAUUGCUAAAAGGGAACACAAGCUUGUAUCAGAUAAUAAGUCUGCCCAUAACGAUCACAAGCGCAAGUUUGAGCCCAAAAAGGAAAUGCAACCAGUGCAGAAGGUUUGUACCUGGCAGCCAACUCAGGUAGCAUACCAACCUAAUUGGCAACAAAAUGUUAACCAGGCCACCACCCAAGUCAAGAAUGACGUGCUCAACCCAGUUCUGGAAAAUCGCCUGCGCAACAAUUCUUGUUACAGUUGUGGACAAACUGGACAUUAUGCCAAACAGUGUCCCAAGAAUAAACAGACCAAUGUUACGUUCAAGCCACAAGUCCAUUAUUUGGAGGCAGGUCUAAGUCAGCACGACGUCACAGGAUACGUUCAUCACAUUUCCGCCGAUGAAGCCCAAGAAAAUCCCGAAGUCGUCAUUGGUAUGUUCCCUGUUAAUAACAUACCUGCAGUAAUUUUAUUUGACUUUGGGGCUUCCCACUCUUUUAUUUCUCGGAGUUUUGUUGCCCAAAACAAAUUUCCUUGUUCGCUUUUGGGCAAGAAUAUGCUGGUACAAACCCCGAGAUCUCUUAUCAGAAGCAAUCUAGUCUGCCGCAAUCUAGAAGUCAGUAUCAACGGAAUCCGUUUUCCAAUGUCUUUGAUACUUAUUAAGUCUGAUAAAUUGGAUGUUAUCUUGGGUAUGAAUUGGCUGACUCAGUACCAAGUAUGCAUAAAUUGUGCGACCCGAGAAGUCAACUUGACCGGCCAAGAUGGACAAACUACAAAGUUUAUUGCUCGUAGGAGCAUACCCUCCAAGGACAUGGUCUUUACAGCAAUAGCUGAAAUGGAAUUAAUUCUGGUGGUCAGCGAGUUUUUUGAUGUAUUCCUAGAAGAACUGCCAGGCAUGCCACCUGAUCGAGAGCUUGAGUUUGCAAUAGAACUUGUGCCCGGAACCACACCAAUACACAAGAAAUAUUAUCGAAUGCCAUCAUCCGAAUUAGUGGAGCUAAAGAAACAGCUUGAUGAAAUGCUCCAAAAAGGGUAUAUCUGCCCUAGUUCGUCACCAUGGGGAUCACCUUCUAUUUUUGUGGACAAGAAAGAUGGCAGCCUCUGUAUGUGUGUGGACUACCGACAGUUGAAUGAUGUCACGAUCAAAAACAAAUACCCUUUGUCAAGAAUUGAUGAUUUGUUUGAUCAGCUCAGUGGAGCCAAGGUAUUCUCAAAGAUUGAUUUGCGGACUAGAUAUUAUCAGCUCAAAAUUAAAAAGGAGGAUAUUCCCAAGACCGCAUUCACCACUCGCUACGGUCUCUAUGAAUAUACAGUCAUGUCUUUCGGCCUCAAUAACGCCCCCGCUUUCUUCAUGCACAUGAUGAAUAAAGUAUUCAUUGAUUUCCUCGAUAAGUUCGUGGUCGUCUUGAUCGAUGAUAUACUUAUUUACUCAAGAAGUGAAGAAGAGCAUAAGGAACACCUCCGAGCAGUGUUACAACGACUCCGUGAGCACCAGUUAUACGCCAAAUUUAGUAAAUGCGAGUUUUGGCUCAAGCAAGUUGGAUUCCUCGGGCAUGUGCUAUCCGCUGAAGGUAUAGCCGUGGACCCAAGCAAGGUGAAAGAUGUGCUCGACUGGUUGCCACCCACCACCGUAUCCCAGAUCCAGAGUUUUAUUGGAUUAGCCGGAUACUACCGCCGUUUCAUUGAAGGGUUUUCCAAGAUUGCUAAGCCCAUGAUGGAGCUGCUCAAAAAGGAUAAUAAGUUUGAAUGGACUACGAACUGUGAGAAAAGUUUCACCGAGUUGAAGAAACGCUUGACAACUACGCCAGUAUUAACACUUCCAGAUAUCUACCGCAGUUUUGACGUAUACUGCGACGCUUCCCGGCAAGGACUAGGAUGCGUGCUUAUGCAAGAUGGCAAGGUAGUAGCUUAUGCCUCACCGCAGCUACGACCCAACGAAGGAAAUUACCCCACACAUGAUUUGUAAAUGGUCACGGUAGUUCAUGCUUUAAAAAUUUGGAGACACUACCUCAUCGGAAAAAGGUGCCAAAUUUUUACCGACCACAAAAGCCUCAAGUAUAUAUUUACUUAGCCAGAUUUAAAUCUCCGUCAACGAAGAUGGCUUGAGUUGGUCAAGGAUUAUGACCUUGGAAUAAAUUACCAUCCGGGUAAGGCCAACGUGGUUGCCGAUGCACUCCGUCGAAAGCCCAUCAGUUUAAAUGUUAUGUUGGAAUCUUUGCCUUCCGAACUUAAAGAAGAGAUUGCUCAGCUCAGCCUGGUCAUAGUUGAGGCUGGCCUUGCCAAUAUUAUGAAGGUUACCCCUACUCUUGAGGAAGAAAUCCGCAAAGCCCUGUCAGGCGAUGCCGAUCUGCAGAAUUUUAUCAAGUUUUCCGAUUUCUUGGAGGAUCAGUGCGGUACCCUCCGAUUUAGGGGAAGGAUUUGUGUGCCUAAUCAAGCUGAUUUGAAGCAGAAAAUUCUGUCAAAAGCCCACAAAUCCUCGUAUUCAAUUCACCCUGGAGGUACGAAAAUUUAUGAAGACCUUCGACAAAUAUUCUGGUGGGAUGGAAUGAAGAAAGACAUUGCUUAUUUCGUGGCCUGUUGCGACAUAUGCAACAGAGUAAAGGCAGAACAUCAGAAACCAGUCGGACUUCUCCAACCGCUGCCAGUAUCACAAUGGAAAUGGGACGAUGUCUGUAUGGAUUUCAUCACAGGACUACCUAAGACCCGACGAGGCAAUAAUGCGAUCUGGGUCAUAGUGGAUACAUUAACCAAGGUGGCCCACUUCCUGCCAAUCAAAACCUCAUACCGAGCAGAUGAGCUGGCACGACUGUAUGUGUCCAGAAUAGUCAGUCUGCGUGGAGUUCCCCGAACCAUCAUUUCUGACCGAGGUUUGCUUUUCACCUCCGCUUUUUGGUCUCGUUUCCAUAAGGCCCUCAGAACAGAAUUGAAAUACAGUACCUCUUAUCAUCCUCAGACGGAUGGGCAGACAGAAAGGGUAAAUCAGAUACUCGAAGAUAUGCUCCGAGCCUAUGUUUUGGCCCAAGGACCACAAUGGGAAGAUUGCUUGCCAUAUGCCGAGUUCUCGUAUAACAAUGGCUUCCAAACCAGUUUAAAGAUGUCACCAUAUGAAGCAUUGUAUGGCCGUAAGUAUUGCACUCCAUUAAAUUGGUCUCAAACCGGAGAUAGCCGUAUUUUCGAAACGGAUCUCAUGCUGGAAGCUGAAAAGCAAGUCAAGGAGAUCCGAGACAGGUUGCAAUUGGCCAAAUCGCGACAGAAAAGUUAUUACGAUGCAAAGCACCGACAGAUCAGCUUUGAACACGGAGAACAUGUCUACCUUCGAGUCACGCCUAUGAAAGGAAUCAAAAGGUUUCAAACCCGUGGAAAAUUGGCACCCAGGUUUAUUGGUCCAUUUCCCGUUAUGACAUGAGUAGGUGUUGUGGCAUAUCAGUUGGAGUUGCCCCGUGAGCUGUCAGACAUGCACAACAUGUUCCAUGUUUCACAAUUGCGACGGUGCAUAUCACCGCCCGAGAAAAAGACCGAUUUGACAGAGAUAGAGAUGGCAAAGGACUUGACCUAUGAAGAGAGGCCAGUGAAAAUUUUGGACCAAAUGGAAAAGGUCACUCGCAGUAAAUCACGGAAGUUUUAUAAGGUCCAAUGGAUGCAUCAUACCGAGUCAGAAUCAACCUGAGAAUCAGAACAAUUUCUAAGGGCAUGUUAUUUAGAAUGGUUUUCCCAAGCAACCGAAUCUCGAGGACGAGAUUCAUUCUAAGUGGGGGAGGUUUGUGACAGCCUGGUUUUUUCCCUCUCUUCUUUGCCUGAUUUUCAGUUGAGUUGGUUUUGAAUUUGGAGUUUUGAAUCAUUUCAUUUGGACUUAACCACUUGGGCACCCCUUGAUUUUCACCCAAGUGUUCCCUCUCCUCCUCACAACCACCAUUUCACUCCUGGUCCAACCCAAAAAUAUUGUUUGGAAUAUUUUUCUUAAAUGAAAAAUAUUCAUUUGGACCUCCAAAACCCUAGCUAACACUUUGAGCACCAAAGCAACCCUAAUUAUUCUUGCCCCAAAAAUCUUGAGAAAAAUCCCAAUUAUUCUAUGGACCCUAGGGCACCUUUCUGAGCAAAAAUAUUUCACCACUCAUUGGAAUAUUUUGGCUACAGAAAAUAAACUCACUUCUGGACAGAAAUGGUAGUUUCUACAGCAACUACCUUUUUACUAGCUCCAUUGUAGCUGGUUUUUCCUGUGCCUAUUUACCUUAGUAAGUGUAAGCAAAACCCCAAAGCUCAACCCUUGACUCCUAGUGGUUUGACCACAGUAAUUCUCCAAAGUUACUGUCCAGUAACUUGUCAACGGCCCAAAUUUACUUCUACUGCACCUGGAACCUAACCAAACCAUGGUAACAACUCAGUUUACUAAGGACUACACGCCAGACAUAUUUGUUAGUGCGUAGGGUGGCCUGAUGUCACGGUUCAUGCGGUGACCGCGUUCGUCCGAGCGUGCUGGCAUGCAAUAGGCGCGCUCUGCGCGUCGCCAGCGCCUCUGUUGAGCGCGUGCUCACUGCUCAGUCGGUCAGAGUGUGCCACACCUCGCCACCAACCUCGUCUCCACCUCCAUAACUCCCCCUGCCGCUCGCCGACGCUGGAGCUCGCCGCAGCGAGCACAGGCACGGUCCGACCAACGGCACAGUGCGCGUGCACUGUGUUCGUUGCUUUCCCCCUCGCUCGUGUGCUCGUCCGCGCCCGUGCACAGUUCUUGCGUGACCUCCGUCGUCUUCUUCCUCUCUCUCUAGCGCUGUUCGUCGCCGGGCGACGUGGAAAGGUGUCUUCCGGCGGAGCCCAAGCCCUCCUCGCCGUCCGCCUAUAAAAGCAGCCACCAGCAGCCUCUUGGAGCACCCACAACCACUCGUACCUCCUCCACGAUCCAGUAGAAGCCGCAGCACGGCCGGGCAGGCCGCGGGCUGCCGUCCCGAAGCUGAGCUCGCCGGCGAUCCCCUCCGGAUCAUUCCCGCAGCUCCCGCCCCUCCCAAGCCAAGGCGACCCCGCCAGGGCCUCCGCCUCUCCUCCGUGAAGCCAACCCGCAAUUCUGGAGCCCCUGGAGCCGCCCCAAGCCGUCCUCGUCUUCAUCUCCGGCAACCUCCGCCCUCUGCCUCCUCUGGAGAGGUCGAUUCCGACGCUGUCCGGCCACCGCUAGCUACGCUACGGGUACAGGCAGGUGCGCAAACAUCUCCUCCGUCGAUCCCUCCCUCUCGUUUGACUCCAAGAAGCCUCACCGCCGGCGUGAGCUCCGGCGAAGCGUCGCCUCCCUCUGUUUCCCUCUCCCCUCCCUCCGGCCUGACUAGCGGGGCCCGCUAGUCAGCCACUCAUUACGCGGGCAAAGCAGUAUGAGUGGUGGCGCCCCGAGUGUUUAUGCUUUUGACGUCACCCCCCUCUGUUUAUUUAUUUCAAAUUCAUUUAAAAUCCAGGAAACUUCAAAUGGCCAUAACUUUUUGUCUAUAAGUCCAAAUGCAUUGAUUCUUUUUGCAUUGUGUUCUGUGUCCAAAAAUCUAACAGCACCCAAAUGCAUUGUGUGUUGUCUAGAUUUUUGGUAAUUUUCAGAAGUUUUCUUGAUAUUUUCUUUUUGUGAUUUUGAUUAUUUUCAGAAGAGCCAGCUUGUCUUGAGGAUCACCAGGAGCUUUGUGAACCUCAUCAGCACUAAGGCAAGCCACAGUAACAUGUUCAUAGUGCCACUUCAAUAUUUGUGAUUUUUCUACUUGAACUUAUGAAUAUUUAUGCAUUUAAAAUUAGUUAUAUAAUGAGUAUAUUCUGUUGGAUGCUUGUCAUGUUAAAAUACUUGAACUACAGAAUGUUUGAACUGAAUUUUGUUGGUAAGCUAAAGAGAACUUAGUUACAAGUAAUGAAUAAAGGAUAUGGUCAUAGAGGUUAAUAAUUAGUUUAUUUAUUAUUUUUGCAUGAUGAAAAAUGAUGAGAUUGCUAGAAAUGAUUCUGGUGUAAGUGAGGUGUGAUCUUAACUAGAGUAGUAGCAUGAGUUGAUGAUGGCUCCGUAAGAGCGUGGUUGAUUCUGUUAUUUGCAUGGUUAUGUGAUGCAUGUGUUAAGUGAUGCAUAGUAUGGCAUUAUGACACCGGUUAUUUUCACAUUAAGUUGAACCUGAUUAAUAACCCAACUUGAAUAUGUUGUUGACCGGGUCGUGGUGCCGCUGAAACAAGUCUUUCCCAGUGUAACCACAUUUGCAGGUAUGGGACGGCCUUAAUGCGUUUCAUUGUCGUGCCUCUGGUCGGUGCCUCCAUUUAGGGGAGGUUAUGGGCGUGCUGUACCCUGGACCAGUAGGCAAGCAUAAACUUGUCAGCCCGUUGUUAAGUUAAUUUUUGGUACCGGGUCCCAGAGUGGAUCAUGGCCACGAUGGUGGUCGAGGUGUCUGGAGGUAGACACGAGGCCACCCAGGACUAGACCGAUGGGGUCUGAGUCGGAAUGGCCGGGAGAGUGUCAUGACAAUGAAAUGGUUUCAUCGGAAUGUCGUUGGUCCACCCGAAUGGGAGUGUGAGGCCUUGGGUUCCGUAGUGUGGGUACAAUGUACUAACCUCUGCAGAGUGUUUUUAAUCUAUCGAUAGCCGAGUCCACGGUUACGGACACGCUCGAAAGUAGGGUACUCCAUGGGUCAACACUUAAUAAAAUUUGCACACUAAAGUUUGCACUAAGGAUGGCAGUGAGGCCAUCGUGUUGAGAUGGACCAUGAGUUGGUCGGGUGGUGAUCGCCGAAAGGAUCACAAAUGUGUUUUAGAGAUUAUAAUGUUGUUGUCUAGAAAUGAUCACGUCCAGUAAGCAAGUCCGUGGAACAAGUACCAGUUGAGCAUAGUCACAACAUGUUGGAUAUAUGGUUGCAUUGUUGAUUAAAUGGUUAAAUAUCAUGAUAUUGUUUGUCAUUAUAUUUAUGCUUAUUGUGAGCUUGCAAGUACAUUCAAUCUACUGACCUGGCGUGUCAUGCCAGAUUUCAGGAAAGUCUCGUUGGGAAGGAAUGAUGUCCGAGUCUAGACCGUGUUCACAUCGGUGUCCCUGUGCUAUGGAGUCCCGCUACAACGUUAUUCUGCUGCCAAGUAGUUGUCAUGAUCGAGGCCCCUUUAUGUUCACUAAAUAAUGUACAUAUUGUUCAGCCGCACCAUGUGUGCCGCUUGGCCUCGCUAACUGUUGUAAUAUAAAUUAUGCUCCGCUAGCAUGAAUAAAGCGGUUGUUUUUCUGUACCAUGUUGUUGUUUGUUGCCAGAAGACAAGGUCUCUGGGCUAGCAAUGCAAGGUAAAUAGGUCGCUCUGAGCCGGGGUGCCACAACACUAUGACUCUAUAUGAAUGCCUCCAGCGGUGUACCGGGAUAUGCAAUGAAUCAAGAGCGACAUGUAUGAAAAUUAUGAAGGUGGCCUUGCCACAAAUACGAUGUCAACUACAUGAUCAUGGAAAGAGCAAUAUGACAAUAGUAAUGCGUGUCAUAUAAACGGAACGGUGGAAAGUUACAUGGCAAUAUAUCUCGGAAUGGCUAUGGAAAUGCCAUAAUAGGUAGGUAUGGUGGCUGUUUUGAGGAAGGUAUAUGGUACCGGCGAAAGUUGUGCGGCACAAGAGAGGCUAGCAAUGGUGGAAGGGUGAGAGUGCGUCUAAUCCAUGGACUCAUCAUUAGUCAAAAGAACUCAUAUACUUAUUGCAAAAAUCUACAAGUCAUCAAAAACAAAGUACUACGCGCAUGGUCCUAGGGGGAUAGAUUGGUAGGAAAAGACCAUCGCUCGUCCCCGACCGCCACUCAUAAGGAAGACAAUCAAUAAAUAAAAUUGUGCUCCAACUUCAUCACAAAGCGGUUCACCAUACGUGCAUGCUACGGGAAUCACAAACUUCAACACAAGCAUUCUUUAAAUUCAUAAUCACCCAACUAGCACGACUUUAAUAUCACUACCUCCAUAUCUCAAAACAAUUAUCAAGUAUCAAGUUGAUCAUAGCAUCCAAUUCACUUCCUAUGAUAGUUUUCAUUAUACCCAACUUGGAUGCCUACCAUUCUAGGACCAAUUUUAUAACCAUAGAAAAUACCAUGCUGUUCUAAAGUACUCUCAAAAUAAUAUAAGUGAAUCAUGAGAGACUAGCAAUUUCUACAAAAUUAAGCCACCGCCAUGCUCUAAAAGAUAAAAGUGAAGCACUAGAGCAAAAACUAUCUAGCUCAAAAGAUAUAAGUGAAGCACAUAGAGUAUUCUAAUAAAUUUCAAUCAAAUAGGCUUCUCCCAAAAGGUGUGUACAGCAAGGAUGAUUGUGGAAAACUAAAAAGCAAAUACUAAUAUCAUACACAACGCUCCAAGCAAAACACAUAUCAUGUGGCGAAUAAAAAUAUAGCUCCAAGUAAAGUUACCAAUGAACGAAGACGAAAGAGGCGAUGCCUUCCGGGGGCAUCCCCAAGCUUAGGCGUUUGGAUACUAUUGAAUAUCUUGAGGUGCCAUGGGCAUCCCCAAGCUUAGGCUCUUGCCACUCCUUAUUCCAUAGUCCAUCAAAUCUUUACCCAAAACUUGAAAACUUCACAACACAAAACUCAACAGGAAAUCUCAUAAGCUCCGUUAGUGAAAGAAAACAAAACCACCACAUAAGGUACUGUAAUGAACUCAUUCUUUAUUUUAUUUUUGUUAAACCUACUGUAUUUCAAGUUCUCUAUGGUUCAUACCAAUUAAUACUAGCCAUAGAUGCAUCAAAAUAAGCAAACAACACACGAAAAACAGAAUCUGUCAAAAACAGAACAGUCUGUAGCAACCUGUAACUAAUGCAAACUUCUGGAACUUUAAAAAUCCUACCAAAAUAUGAAGUCCUAGGAAAUUUGUCUAUUUAUCAGCAGCUAAAAGAAUAAACGCAAAAUCACGUUUCUGUUAUUUAACAAAACUAAUUUCGUGUGGGCAAAGUUUCUGUUUUUCAGCAGAAUCAAAUUAACUAUCACCAUAGGUUAUCCUAUAGGUUCUACUUGGCACAAACACUAAUUAAAACAUAAAAACACAUAUAAACAGAAGGUAGAAGCAAAAUUUAUUACUAAACAGAGACAAAAACAAAAAACACAAAUAAACAUGGGUUGCCUCCCAACUAGCGCUAUCGUUUAACGCCCCUAGCUAGGCAUAAAAGCGAAGAUAGAUCUAAGUAGUGCCAUCUUUGGCACUCAAUUCAUAAGUAGCCCGCAUGAUAGAUUCAUAAGGUAAUUUAAUUUUCUUUCUUGGAAAGUGCUCCAUGCCCUUCCUUAAUGGAAAUUGGAAUCUAGUAUUCCCUUCCUUCAUAUCAAUAAUCGCGCCAAUCGUUCUAAGGAAAGGUCUACCAAGAAUAAUAGGGCAAGAAAGAUUGCAAUCUAUAUCAAGAACGAUAAAAUCUACGGGCACCAAAUUUCUAUUUGCAACAAUGAGAACAUCAUUGAUCCUUCCCAUUGGCUUUUUAAUGGUGGAAUCCGCAAGGUGCAAAUUUAAAGAGCAAUCAUCAAGAUCAUGGAAACCUAGAAUAUCACAUAAAGUUUUCGGAAUCAUGGAAACACUAGCACCCAAAUCACACAAAGCAAAACACUCAUGAUCUUUAAUUUUAAUCUUUAUAGUAGGUUUCCACUCAUCAUAAAGUUUUCUAGGUAUAGAAACUUCCAAAUUAAGUUUUUCAUCAUAAGAUUGCAUCAAGGCAUCAACAAUAUGUUUGGUAAAAGCUUUAUUUUGACUAUAAGCAUGAAGAGAAUUAACAACGGAUUGCAACAAGGAAAUACAACCUUCUAAAGAACAAUUAUCAUAAUCAAGUUCCUUGAAAUCCAAGAUAGUGGGUUCAAUGCUAUUUAAAGUCAUGACCUCUCCAAUCCCACUUUUACCAAAUUUAGCAUCAAGAUCUAAAAACUCCCAAUUAUUGGGACGCCUUCUAACUAAAGUUGACUCAUCUCCAGUCCCAUUAUUAUUAAGAUCCAUAUUGCAAAACAAAGAUCUAAUAGGAGACACAUCAAUAACUUUAAGAUCUUCAUCAUUAUUUUCAUUGAAACUAGAAGAACACGCCUUUACAAAGCAAUCUUUCUUAGCACACAAUCUAGCUGUUCUUUCCUUGCACUCAUCAAUGGAAAUUCUCAUUGCUUUGAGAGACUCAUUGAUAUCAUGCUUAGGAGGAGUAGGUCUAAGUUUAAGAGAAUCAACAUCAAGUGAAAGUCUAUCAACGUUCCUAGCCAAAUCAUCAACUUUGAGCAGUUUUUCUUCAAGCAAAGCAUUAAAAUUCUUUUGAGAGAUCAUAAAUUCUUUCACACUAUUCUCAAAAUCAGAGGGCAUCUUAUUAAAAUUACCAUAAGAAUUAUUGUAGUAAUUUCCAUAAUUAUUAGAGGAAUUACUAGGGAACGGUCUAGGAUUAAAGUUUCCUCUAUAAGCAUUGUUUCCAAAACUAUUCCUACCAACAAAAUUCACAUCCAUAGAUUCAUUAUUAUUCUCAAUCAAAGUAGACAAAGGCAUAUCAUUGGGAUCAAGAGGAUCACUCUUAGUAGCAAAUAAUUAUAAGUUCAUCCAUCUUUCCACUCAAAACAUUAAUUUCUUCUAUAGCAUGCACUUUUUUACUAGUAGAUCUUUCGGUGUGCCAUUGAGAAUAAUUAGCCAUAAUAUUAUCAAGAAGUUUUGUAGCAUCUCCUAACGUGAUUUCCAUAAACGUGCCUCCCGCGGCCGAAUCUAAAAGAUUUCUAGAAGCAAAGUUCAAACCGGCAUAAAAUUUUUGUAUGAUCAUCCAUAAAUUCAAACCAUGAGUAGGGCAAUUGCGAAUCAUCAAUUUCAUUCUUUCCCAAGAUUGGGCAACAUGCUCAUGAUAAAGUUCUUUAAAAUUCAUAAUAUCGUUCCUAAGAAUGAUAAUCUUAGCGGGAGGAAAAUACUUAGAGAUAAAAGCAUCUUUGCACUUGUUCCAAGAAUCAAUACUAUUUUUAGGCAAAGACGAAAACCAAAUUUUAGCAUGAUCUCUAAGUGAAAAUGGAAAGAACUUCAAUUUAACAAUAUCAUUAUCUGUAUCUUUCUUCUUUUGCAUAUCACACAAAUCAACAAAGUUGUUUAGAUGAGUGGCGGCAUCUUCACUAGGAAGGCCGGCGAAUUGAUCUUUCAUAACAAGAUUCAGCAAAGCAGUAUUGAUUUCACAAGACUCAAUAUCAUUAAGAGGAGCAAUCGAAGUACUAAGGAAAUCAUUAUUAUUGGUAUUGGAGAAAUCACACAAUUUGGUAUUAUCUUGUUCCAUGGCAACAAGUAAUCCAACACACAAGCAAACAGAAAAAGGCAAGCGAAAAAGAGAGGAGAAGAUUGGGAAAAAGAGGGCGAAUAAAACGGCAAGGGUGAAGUGGGGGAGAGGAAAACGAGAGGCAAAUGGCAAAUAAUGUAAAUGCGAGGGAGAUGAGUUUGUGAUGUGUACUUGGUAUGUCUUGAAUUGAGCGAAGACCUCCCCGGCAACGGCGCCAGAAAUCCUUCUUUCUACGUCUUGAGCUUGCGUUGGUAUUCCUUGAAGAGGAAAGCGUGAUGCAGCAAUAGUAGCGUAAGUAUUUCCCUCAGUUUUUGAGAACCAAGGUAUCAAUCCAGUAGGAGGCUCCUCAAAAGUCCCACGCACCUACACAAACAAACAAAGAACUCGCAACCAACGCAAUAAAGGGGUUGUCAAUCCCUUCACGGUCACUUGUGAAAGUGAGGUCUGAUAGAGAUAGUAUGAUAAGAUAAAUAUAUUUUUGGUAUUUUAUAAUGUAGAUAAGAAAAGUAAAGAUGCAAAUAAAAGUAGAUUGAAAGCUUAUAUGAUAAUAGAUAGACCCGGGGGCCAUAGGUUUCACUAGUGGCUUCUCUCAAGAUAGCAUAAGUAUAACGGUGGGUGAACAAAUUACUGUCGAGCAAUUGAUAGAAAAGCAAAUAAUUAUGAGAUUAUCUAGGCAUGAUCAUGUAUAUAGGCAUCACGUCCGUGACAAGUAGACCGACUCCUGCCUGCAUCUACUACUAUUACUCCACACAUCAACCGCUAUCCAGCAUGCAUCUAGAGUAUUAAGUUCAUAAGAACAGAGUAACACAUUAAGAAAGAUGACAUGAUGUAGAGGGAUAAACUCAAGCAAUAUAAUAUAAACCCCAUCUUUUUAUCCUUGAUGGCAACAAUACAAUACGUGCCUUGCAACCCCUACUGUCACUGGGUAAGGAAACCGCAAGAUUGAACCCAAAGCUAAGCACUUCUCCCAUGGCAAGAAAGAUCAAUCUAGUAGGCCAAACCAAACUGAUAAUUCGAAGAGACUUGCAAAGAUAACUCAAUCAUACAUAAAAGAAUUCAGAGGAGGUUCAAAUAUUUCUCAUAGAUAAACUUGAUCAUAAACCCACAAUUCAUCGGAUCUCGACAAACAUACCGCAAAAAGAGUUACAUCGAAUAGAUCUCCACAAGAGAGGGGGAGAACAUGGUAUUGAGAUCCAAAAAGAGAGAGAAAAAUCCAUCUAGCUAAUAACUAUGGACCCAAAGGUCUGUGGUAAACUACUCACAACUCAUCGGAGGGGCUAUGGUGUUGAUGUAGAAGCCCUCCAUGGUCGAUUCCCUCUCCGGCGUAGCGCCGGCAAAGGCUCCAAGAUGGGAUCUUGCGGAUACAUAAAGUUACGGCGGUGGAAAUUGUUUUUCGUUGGUUCCCUGGAUGUUUUUGGGGUACGUGGGUAUAUAUAGAAGGAAGAAGUAGGUCGGUGGCCGCAUGAGGGGCCCACGAGAUAGGGGGCGCGCCCUCCACCCUCGUGGCCGCCUCGGCUGCUUCUUGGCUUGCACUCCAAGUCAUGUGGAUCACGUUUGUUCCAAAAAUCAUGCUCCCGAAGGUUUCAUUCCAUUUGGACUCCGUUUGAUAUUCCUUUUCUUCGAAAUACUGAAAUAGGCAAAAAAACAGCAAUACGGGCUGAGCCUCCGGUUAGUAGGUUAGUCCCAAAAGUGAUAUAAAUGUGUAAAAUAAAGCCCAUAAACAUCCAAAACAGGUAAUAUAAUAGCAUGGAACAAUAAAAAAUUAUAGAUACGUUGGAGACGUAUCAGCGUUGAAGGGAGAUGCCGGUUGGUAUAGCUUGCCGGGUGGAGCCGAUUCGUGCUAGGUCAUCUACUUGCUCAUUGUCGGCCCGUGGCACGUGGGGAACUCGCACCCUUCAAAAUAUCCGCAGAGUUGUUGAACGAGGAAACAGUAGCUCACCAUUUUUGCAUCCAUCACCAGAAGAUUGUUGGACCACCAAGUCUGAGUCGCCAUAGCACAGGAUCUGGUGGAUGCCGAGUUCUUUGGCCAGCCGGAGCCCAUGUAUGAGCGCCUCAUACUCGGCCACAUUGUUGGAGGCGACAAAAUGGAUUUGUAGUGUGUAUCUGAGCUUCUCGCCUUUGGGAGUGGUGAGGACGAUGCCGGCUCCCAAACCAGUGUGCAUCUUGGAUUUGUCAAAGUGCAUCCGCCAAUGGGUGGAGUCAGCUGCUGGUGGCAGGUACUAGGUCUCGGCCCAGUCGACGAGGAAGUCGGCCAGCACUUGGGACUUGAUGGCGGUGUGAGGCUGGUAGAAGAUAGUAUAAGGAGCCAGUGCAGUCCCGGCCAGAUGCAUCCCGGCUGCCCAUGAUCUCGGCAAGCGGGGCAGUGCAACCGAUCGUGAUAGGGUGCUCUUGAAAGUAGGGCUUGAGCUUCUUGGCGGCAAAGUACAUGCCAUAGCACAUCUUCUGGCAGUGGGGAUAGUUCUGCUUCGAGGUUGAUAAUACUUGGCUCAAGUAAUACACCCGCCUCUGGACCAGCUGAGCUUUGCCUUAUCCUGGGCGCUGAACCACGAUGACAGUGCUGACCACCCGGCUGGUUGCGGCAAUGUAAAGGAGCAUGGGCUCUUUGUCAGUCGGAGCCGCCAGGACAGGUGGCGUGAUCAGCAUCUUCUUCAACUGGUGAAAAGCUUCGUCCGCCUGGACGUUCCACUCGAAGUGAGUGGUUUUCUUCAUGAGUUGAUACAGGGGAAGAACCUUCUCCCCUAGCCGACUAAUGAAGCAGUUAAGGGAAGCCAGGCACCUGGUGAACUUCUGGAUGUCUCGCAGCCAGGUGGGAAUCUCCAUCCUUUCUAUGGCCUUGAUCUUCACCGGUUGCACUCAAUGCCACGUUCGGAGACCAGGAAGCCAAGGAGCUAGCCGGCUGGUGCCCCGAACACGCAUUCCUCAGGGUUGAGCUUGAUUUGAAAAUGGUGCAAGUUGUCAAAUGUUUCCUUGAGAUCUUCUAGCAGGGUGUUGCGCUUCUCCGUUUUCACCACAAUAUCAUCUACAUAAACGUGGGCAUUUCUGCCGAGUUGCUCGAGGAGGCAUUUCUGCAUGCAAUGCUGAAAAGUGGCAACGGCAUUUCUUAGGCCGAAUGUCAUAGUCAGGUAGCAGAAAGCUCCGAAUGGUGUGAUGAAGGCGGUCUUUAGGCGUUCAGCUGGAUCCAACUUGAUCUGAUGGUAGCCUGAGUAGGCAUCCAAGAAACUCAACAGCUCGCAUCCAACUGUGGAGUCUAUCACUUGAUCAAUCCGAGGCAAAGCAAACGGAUCUUUGGGGCAAGCUUUGUUGAGGCUGGUAUAAUCUAUACACAUGUGCCACUUCUUGUUCUUCUUUAGUACAAGGACUGGGUUGGCAAGCCACUCUGGAAAGAACACUUCCAUAAUGAAGCCGGCUCCCAGAAGUCGGGCUCUCUCUUCACCAACAAUUCUUCUCUUCUCCUCCGACAGUCGGCGGAAGGGCUGUUUGACUAGUUUUGCAUCUGCGCGGACAUGUAGCUUGUGCUCGGAGAAAUCCGUCGGAACACCCGGUCUGUCCUUGGGGGACCAUGCAAAGAUAUCCCUAUUCUCACGGAGGAAAUCAACAAGCUCGCUUUCCUAUUUGCUGUCCAGGUUUGCUCCUACAACGGCGAACCUCUCCGGGUGCUCCGGGUCUAGAGGUAUCUUCUUUGUUUCCUUGGCCGUCUAGAAGGAGCCCUGAGCUUCCAACUCCUUGGGAUCGGGCGACAGGUCCGGCUGCUUGCCGGCCAUGGCCACGACCCGGUCAAGGAUCUUUUUCUCAGCAGCAAUCACAAGGGACUCGGCCAGCUAGCUACUGGCUGCAGCGCAGGCAGAGGACUUUUUGUAGUCUCCGACUAUGGUGAUGAUGCCCUUGGAGCUCGGUAUCUUCAUCUUGAGGUAGGCAUAGUGGGGCACCGCCAUGAACUUGGCCAGGGCAGGUCGGCCAAGUAAAGCAUGAUAAGGGCUCUCUAGAUCCACUACCUCAAACCAAACUGCUUCACGGCGGAAGUGAUCUUUGUCUCCGAAGAGGACAUCUAUCUUGAUCUUGCCGAUUGGUGAGCAUGAAAGGUUGGGUACAAUGCCAUGGAAGACGGUCCGACUGGGCAAGAGCUGCUUUGUCUUGAUGUUCAGCUUCUCCAUGGUGUCACGGUAUAGGAUGUUGAUACUGCUUCCGCCAUCGAUCAGAACUCGGGAGAAACGAGCGGCCUGCCUCUCCGUUGCAAAGGUGGCAUCCAACACCAAGGCGUUAGAACCCGGAGAAGGCAUCACCUCUGGGUGAUCAGCUCGGCUCCAGCUGAUGGUUUCUCAGACCAGUGCAUGAACUCUAGAACUUUGGAGGAGGCAGCAUUGACUUCUCGAUGCUGCCGACGCCAGCUGCGCCUGUCGUCAGCUUGGCUUGUAAAGACGACAUAGGCUGCGUGUUCUUUAGGGAACUCGUCUUGGAUGGCUCCGACUGCUGGGUGGGCGGCCGGCUGCUGAGGAGCCGGAGGCGGCUGGCCAGUAGGCAGAGGAGGCAGCAGCCCUUCGCCUUUGGAGAUUCGGGUGAGCCAAUGGCACUUUUGGGUUAUGUGGUUGGAUGGCUUCGCGCCGCUGUGGAACUUGCAGGGUGCAUCAAGGGUCUGCUCGUAGGAGAAAGUAGACUGCCAAGCCGGCCUGUCGCCUUUCUGACGCUUGGGUAUGGGCUGCCCUUCUGGCUGCUGAUCCUCAACUGUUGCCACUUGCCGGCUGGUGGAAGUCAGCAUCGGGGCCUUGCGUUUGUUGUCGUUCUGAUGCGGGCGCCGAUUGGUGUCGCCAGUCGGCGCUUUUGGAGCUGGAGGGAGUAACUUUCCAGAGGCGUCCACCCGGAGCUCCGACUUCAUUGAGGAGUCAGCAGUGGUGUACUUGUCUGCUAUGAUCAGCAGCUCGUCGAGUGUGGCCGGCUCAUCGUAGAGGAGUCGGCGCUUGAGGAGGGUGCCUUCUUGGCACCCGGUGGUGAAGUAUUCUAUAGCUUGCACAUCGUGCACCCCUUCGCAGGAGUUGCGGAGCUCGGCCCAGCGCAUCAGGUAGUCGUGGCUAGGCUCGGUCGGGCCUUGGAGGCACAGGGAAAGUUGACGUGGCUUGGGCGCCUGCUUGUACGUGCUGGUGAAGUUGCUGAUGAAGACUUCUGUGAAGUACAGCCAGCUGUUGAUGCUGUAAGGCUUGAGGCUGUUCAACCAGGUGCGUGUCAUGCCUUGAAGCAUGAGGGGGACAUACUUCACGGCAACGUGCCUGUUGCCAUUUGCUAUGCUGACUGUAGUGGAGUAGUCUAUCAGCCGGUCUUCCGGCUUCACCGAGCUGUUAUACUUGGGCGUGUCUCUUGGGAGCGAGAACCCUUUGGGAAAGGGCAUGUCGCGAAUGCGGGGGCCGAAACAAGGCAGGCCGACAUCAUCUUCUUCUUCUAGCGCUAGGGAUCGUGCCAGGCGGUUGAUCUGAUGGCGGGCAUCGUUCUUGCUGAUUCCUUCGCAGCGGCCCAGUCGGCCGCUGAGCAUCGGGUGCUCAACAGGCGGCGGGGAGGGAUAUCUCUCCCUGCGGGCGGAGGAGGAGGCGGGUUAUCGCCUCACCGCUCCACGGCUCGGGGGCGGCCUUCUGCGUCGCGCUCGAUGGUGAGGCGUGUCCGAUUGCGGCUAGCAGCCAGCUCCUUAUCUUUUCGCUCGCGGGUGCCGCCUGUAGUCGGCGUUCAGGAGGUCGCGCCGUGCUCUCGGCGAGGGGGAGGGCUCUCGGCACGGGCGCCGACUUCUUGCCUUUCCACGGCCGCGUCGAUGAGAUGCUGGACGCGUCUCGUCAUGCAGCGUAGCUCGUCACCAUCCAAACCUUCCAGCUCAUCUGUUGCCGCCUGAGCGGCGCGUAGGUUCUCAAGGGGCGUGGCGUAGACUGGGCGGUCGGCCCCCAGCAUGCUGGCGAUAGCAGCGCCGUGCUUCUUGAUUGAGCCAAGCCGGGUGGGCCCGCCAGUAGCCGGCGUGCCGGAGGCGGCACGGUCAACCUCGCGCUGAUAAGCCUCGGUGAGGCAUCUCAUGGAGGCUAUCUUCUUGCCAUUCUCGACGAGGGCAAGGCGGUGGGCCUCCAGCAUCUCGGCAUCGGCGUCAGCCGAAAUGGGUGCGGACAGGUUGUGCGGCGCCGUCUGCAGAGUGUCGUGGGCAUUCUCGCCGGAGGCGGCACCGUGGCUGAUGAUCAGCACCUCAGUGACGGUGCUGCCGCCGCUGUCGGUACAAGGAAGGGUAUCAUCGAUGACCACUACGUUGGUGGGGAAGGCGUCAAGGGAUGCCAUGUCGGAGUCGACGAGUAUCGGGUCGGUGGAGCCGAUCGACUCCAGAUCGGAGGUGGGCUCGCUGGCAAUGUCGAGCUUGCCAAGGAGGUUGAUGAAGCAGCUCUCGGAGCUGGUUGCACGCGCGCCUGGCGCGGGCUCGUCAGAGAGGCGGACCUCACCGAGAAGAUCGGCGAGGCAGCUCGCUGUGCAGGCGGCGUCGAUGCCAUGCAGCACAUCGGGGCAAGCGCCAUCGGGCGAGCCGGGCUGGCUACGCUCGCUAGGAAGAAAGAGGGUUCCCGUCCAGAGCAGGUCUCUGGAUGACGGUGCACCUGGCCCCAUGGUGGGCGCCAAAUGUCAGGUGGUAGGUGCGACAUAUGCCAAAGGAUGGCUAAUCAUAGUGGGAGCCAGUAAGACAUCGCCGAUGCCUGGAAACGGGAUAAGGUGAAGACAUGCACGCCGGUGAAUCUUACCCAGGUUUGGGACUCUCCUAGGAGAUAACACCCCUAGUCCUACUCCGCGGGGUCUUCGCAUGAUCACAAAAUCAGUAAGUAGCUACAAGAGGCUCCUUGAGCUAUUUGGCUAGGGGAAGCAGAAGGGCGGGGCUAGCUCUCCUCUUCUCUCUAUGUGGUGUAUGUAGUUCUAAUGGAUCAACCCUUUGCAUGGGUGCCCUGGGGGGUUUAUAUAGGCCUACCCCCAGGGUACAAUGGUAAUCCGGCUGGGUGUUGGCCCAGACCGUUAGUGUCUAUGGGCGCCGACUUCUCCGCCGGCCGCUGGGGCCCGCUGACUGGUGGGUCCCGCCGGCUGCUAGCCUCUUGGCCGACCGACCGGGCCCACCGCCUGUGGACCCUGUCGGCUGCUCAUUACUGUAGCCUCGCCACUGAUGACGAUGGCUUUGUUAGGGAAAGCAUGGCUACAGUGCCGCCGCCUGGCGGGCAUUCACUGUAGCCUUACCCCGUCUUAUCUACUUAAUGGUGCACAAACUUCUAGGGCAAGGGCAGACCGACUGUUGGGAGCCGGUCUCCCCCCGUGCCGACUGGUCAGGUCAGGCCGCCUUCUGGUGGCUCUCUGGCAGGAGGGGCCCGCCGCCUGCGGGCCGUACUGACAGCUUGUCGUGGGUGACAUCAUGGUCAACAUGGCAACAGUGUCGCGCCGGGCGAGGGAUGGCCGCCCGGUACGGUGCACUGUGGCCACGCUCGCUCCGAGAUUCAGGGGUGGCAAGGUUCACUGCAGCCAUGCCCCGUCUUGUUACCGUUAUGUGGGUGCAAACUUUGAGGGUGUAUGUCAGGCCGCAUGCUAGGAGUCGGCCCGCUUCAGGACGGCUUGCUGAACUUGCCGCCUUCCGGUAGCCGGCCACUUGACCAGUCGGCCAUGAGAAGGCUGCCCUUCAUCUUGGAUGCUUGAGGGGCGCAGUCGACCCGUUUUUUUUUUGAAGAACCAGGGAGAGCGGAUAAGGCUACCCGUGGUUAUUUACUCCGACACCAAGAUUGUCACACCUGGUAAUGAUUGCAACCAGAUGACCUUUGUCAUAACAUUGGCCAUUGAUUUGUACUCAUCCUCUUUACUAGUUUUAGACAUCGUAGCUUGUUUCCUUGCACUCCAAGAGAUCAUAUUUGUUCCAAAGAACACUGCAAAGCCACCUGUGGACCGUCCAUCAUCUAGACAACCUGCCAGUCAGUAUGAGAGAAUGAACUAACAAGAGCAUAUGGUGAUCUCGUAAGGAAAACCCCAUCAUAAUAGUGCCACUAAAAUAUCUCACACUUAUCUUGGUUGUGGUCCAGUGAAUUGUGUUUGGAGCAUGGAUGAACUGACAUACCAUACUAACCGAAUCGGAUAUGUUAGGCCAUGUCAAUGUGUAGCACCUACAAUGUUGCGGUGUCUAGUUGCAUCUUCAAUGUCAAGUUUUCCCCCUUUAACCAGAGAUAGUUUCUCUACCAUGCACAAUGAUGUAGCACCUUGCUUACACUUCACUAUGUUUACUCUAGCUAAGAUUUCACUAACAGUUGGCUUAAGAAAGUUGCAGCCCCUCUGUAGCCCUAUGCACCUUAAUACCAAGGAAAUAGUGAAUCUUAUCUAGAUCCUUCGGUGCAAAUUGUGAUUGAAGUCCAUGAAGCAAGGUUGCAACAGCUGAUGAAUCAGACCCUGUAAUAAUGAUGUCAUCCACAUAUACUAAGAUAUAUUAGUAUCCCCUUCCUUUUUUACAAAAAGUGAGGUGUCACACAGAGAUGAUGUAAAUCCUAGUUCUUGAAGCCUGGAACUAAAAUUGGAAUACGGAGCUCUGGGUGCAUGUUUGAGUGCAUACAAAGGUUUAUCCAAUUUACAAACAAAAGUGUGGGUACUCCUUUUCUUCAUAACUUGGUGGUUUUCUCAUGGAAACUUCCUCCUCGAGAAUACCAUGAUGAAAUGCAUUCUGGGCGUUAAGUUGCUAAAGACACUAACCUUUGGAGAUGGCAAGAGACAAUACAAAACUUAUGGUGGCAGAUUUUAUAACUAGACUAGAGUUGCCUUCAUAAUCUAUCGCAUAUCUUCGUCUGAAGCCCUUGGCAAUCACACGAGCCUUGUAACGACCAACCGUUCCAUCAACUUUCUUCUUUAUCUUGUAUGCCCAUUUACAUUCAACAAUAUUUUGGCCCUUCAGAGGAGCAACGAGGCACCACAUAUGGUUUUUUCAAUCAAGGCACCAAAUUCUUCAUCCAUGGCUUACUUCCACCUAGGAUCAUGAGCAGCUUCCACAUGUGACCUUGGUUCAGUUGGAGCCAAAGAACUUGAUGCAACGUAACACACCAUGUCAUUGGGAAGCACAUUUGGUUUUGAUAUACCAUGUUGCAACCAUGUAUGGACACCAGGUGGUGCAGAUGUGCCUACAGCUGCAGAAGGCCCAGUGCAGUCCGAUGUGCCUUCCACCCAAGCAGAGGCAUGUCUACCUGGCGCGUCAAGAUCCUCGGCAUCUCGAGAGCUAUAUCUCGCUUAUAGCGAGGUACAUGCUACCCUCGCCUGAAGCUUUUAUCCCUCACGUAGGUAUUGGGCCGGCCCGUUUCAUUUUUUUAUUCGCUCGUUCCUCACUCGGAAGAAAGACCCUUAUUAACUGUACUAUUUCGUUGGUUUUCUGCGGGUUUUCCGGGGUUUGCUUUUUUCAAAUAAAACUCUUUGGACAUUCUUUGUUUUUUUGGUUUCUUUGUUUCUUUCUCGUUUUCACUGUUUUCACUCUGUUUGCAUUGGUUUUCUUUGGUUUUUAUUUUUCAUUUACUUUGUUUCUUUGUCUUCUUUGUUUCUUUCUUGGUUUACAUUUGUUUUCUUCCUUUUUCUUUAGUUUUCUUUUUUUUGAUUUUCACUAAUUUGCACUUUUCUGCAUUAGAUUCUUAAUAUAUUUUUUCUUUGUAUUAGUUCAGUUUUCUUUGUUUAUUUCUCGGUUUUCUUCCUUUUCUGUGGUUUUCGUCACUUUUCUAAUGUUUUUUUGUCGGUUUUCAUCGGUUUUCCUUUUUUACCACAUGUCGAGUUUUUUCAGUACAUUGUGUACAUGUUUAGCGUACAUGUGAAAGAUUUUUUUUCAUACACGUUAAACAUGUUUCAAAUACACAAGGUACACUUUUUUUAAAUACAUUUCUGAAGAUAUUUUUAAUACAUGGUACAUAUUGAAUAUUUUUAAUCACAAUAAAAAAAUUACACACGCAAGUUACAUUUUUGUAUACAACAGGAACAUAUUUUGUAUACACAAUGAAUAUUUUCUAAAUACAUAAUUAACAUUUUUUAAACAGUUUUUUAUGUCUACUUUAUUCAUCUAAGUAGUACUUUUUUGUAUACAUCAGGAACAGUUUCUUAUACAUGUUUAACAUUUUUUAAGACCUGACCAACAUUUUCUUCUAUUUCUAUUUCUUUUUCCUUUCGGUUUUCCUUUUCUUUUCUUCGGUUUUCUUUGUUUCUUUCCGGUUUCUUUGCUUUUUUACCUUUUUCAUACACUUCAUACAUUUUUUAUACAACAAGAACAUUUUUUAAUGCAUGUUUAUCAAUUUUUAAAUUACAUGGUUAUUUUGUUAAAAUAAUAUAUGUUUUGAGGUCUAAUGUUUUUUCAUACAGACUAUACAUUUUUCGUAUACAGUAGGAACUUUUCUAUUAUACUCGUUUAAUAUUUUCCAGAUACUCGUAUAUAAUUAACAUUUUUCAGAUAUAUGCUUUGAUAUCUGCUAUUUUUCAUAUAGAUUGUACAUUUUUCGUAUACAUAAGAAACAUAUUUAUUAUACACGUUUAACAUUUUACGAACACAUGAUUAACACUAUUUCAGAUAUAUGUUUUGAUGUCUUCUUUUUUCAUACAGAUUUUACAUUUUCAUAUACAUAAGAAACUUCUUUAUUAUACAUGUUUAAUAUUUUUGAAAUAAAUGAUGUGCAUGUUUCUAAAUAGAUGUUUUGAAAAGAAAAUCAUAUACAUGGCAAAUAUUUUUUAAUACCUAUUGAACAUUUGUUUUAAUGCCAUACAACAUUUUUUGAACUACGCUAACAUUUUAUACAUUAUAUAAACAUUUUUCAAAUAUGUCAUUAACAUAUUCUUUUGAAACAUGUGAACAUUUUUUAAAUGUCACAUACAGUACAUUCUUCUAUGCGAGAAGGAUAAGAUCUAUUAUAAAGAUUCACACAAGUAAAAAACACUUCAAACAUAAUAAAAAUUACAUCAAGGUCCAUGGACCACCGAACGACUAUUGUCGCCGCAAGAAUGAGCCGCUGAUGCGCCGUUGUUGCCCUCCCAUAUCGGAGCCGCCCUGACCUUACUGAUGACAGCCGGGAAGUCUUCGUGCACGUGCCCUUAAGGACCAGCGCCCUCGAGCCGUAGUCGUCGCCGUUUAUUCCUUGAAUCGAUCUGAAGAACCUGACACGAAAUCUCGCUGUUGUGUACGCACGGCGAGAAACCCUAAAUUCAUCGCCCCAAAGAGCUUGCAGGAAUCUACGCCGGAGCUCCGUCUAAUCCAUCCCAACGAACGAACUUGAGGAGGAUUGGAGUCCGGAAGACUGACUCAAAAAAGGUGUGCCCUCGUCCGACCAAACGUCGCCCAUGCGAGGACUAAAACCCUACCUAUCUACUAGCGGGAGUCGAGACACCAGGAUUCUCCUUCCCGCCACCGGCCACUGGAGCGGUAGGCGGAGGGGAGGCGAAUCGACAGGCUCGCCGGUGGAGAUCGAGAGGAGGAAGGCUUUCCCAAGUUGCCUUGGGAGAGAGGAAAGAAAAGCCACAUGUAGUACAUUUAAUGGUAUGAAACAUUUUUUCCGAAUUAUGCGAACAUUUUCUUACAUUGUGUAAACAUAUUUUAAACUAGCUUGUGACAUGUUUUUUCUUUUUUUAAUACACAUUGUACAUUUUUCAUAUACACGUGGAAAGAUUUUUGAUACACAUUACUCUUUUUUCAAAUACAUUUUUGAACAGCUUUCGACAUAGAUAAAUGAACAUUUCCUUAAGACAUAUUUGAAUACACUAUGUGCAUUUUUUGAUUGCUAAUAUAUUAAUAUACUAUGAACAAUUUUCUACCUAACAUAAUAGUUGAUAAAUUAUAAGUGCUACAAAUAAAUAUUUUAAAUACACAAUGAACAUUUUUCUAUUGAACAAUGAACUUUGUCGUAACACUUGGUGAACAUUUUUUUCAAAUAGAUAACUAACAUUUUCUUAUGAGAUUUUUAAAAUAAACAAUGAGCAGUUUUUACAAUGCCAAUACAAUUUCUUAAUACUUGGUGAAUAUGUUUUGAGAGAAAAGAAGAAAAAGAGCGAACGGGGGGAACUCGAAGCUAUCCUACGGGCCCAAUACACGUUCGCUGUGGCGAGGCGAGGAGAAACCUGUUCACCAAUAAAAAAAAGAGUUAAUUACAGUUUUAAUACACAAACUUGCAGCGGGGUACAAUUUCAUACAAGAACUUGCAAAACGACUCAAAUUAGCCCCUAAAUUUGCUCUGCGAGAACAAAUUGAUACAAUUUAGUCUGAAACUUGCCAUAUUGGACAGGAGGCACGCAUCGGCCAGACGGACAGUCCGAUAUUAUGAAGAAAUGCCCCCAAGUAUAGCAAUAAAUGAACCCGUGGUCCUCAGAGAGAGCUGGUAGUAGAAAACUUAAAAGCGACCCUGAGAUUAUGCAAAAUAUUACAUUUGCACUGUGAACCCAGUACAAACCCUUUGUCUGUUUGGGUUUUCGCCUGCCUGUUCGUUUCUCAUCGGCCGCUUAGGUUGUUCGUUUCUCGUCAGCGACGAGUGACGGUGCUGCCUGGUUGGUCGUCACCAACGAGAUCGUCGCUUGAUGGAGCCACAUCCCCGGGGCAUUGGCGAGUUUCCUCCGGAUUAUGGUAUGCACACUCGUGCUAUGUUGGAUGGUCCCCUAUUUCGGACCUCUUAUGACUACGGUUUUGAUCAUGUUUGAACAGAGGUAUUCGUUCUUGAUCGGCCCACUUAAACUAAAAACAGAAAAUUAAAGACAAAAACUAAAAAUUAACUUUAACAAAAACUCUAAACACAAAGAUUAGGAAUACUAAACUCCUCCCUGACAACGGCACUAGAAAAACGACUUGAUAUCUCCUUUUUAUUGAUCAGGUAUUGGAACAGAAAAAAGUAUCCCGCACAUAUUUCCCUCAAGGUGACCCUGGUUUAUCGAACCCACGAGAGGAAGAUUCCCUCGAAGCGAUGGUCUCUAGAAAGCUUUCGUCAAAGUGUCAAAUCCUGCUUUUGACCAGAUCAACAAGCAAAUAAUAAUUUAAACACUUAUAAUAAAAAGAGGUAUGGGUAUGAGGUCUUAUGCUUACAACCUUGUAUUUGUGAUGGGAUCAAAUAUGAUAUUAGUUUCUGGGCUGCACCCGUCGACAUGUGCUUGCCACGGAUCAACGCGGAAAUACCUUCGGUCAAACACGAUGAAAACCCUAGCCAUAAGAGGGCCGAAAUAGGGGACCAUCCAACAUAGCAGAAGAAGUGUGCAUACCAUAAUCCGGUGGUAACUCGCCAAUGCCCCAGGGACGUGGGUCCAUCAAGUGAUGAUCCCGUCGAUGGCGACCAACCAGGUAGCACCGUCGCUUGUCACGGACGAGAAACGAACAGCCGAAGCGGCCGAUGAGAAACUAAUAGGCAGGCGAACACGAACAGACGAAGGGGUUUGUGUUGGGCUUCUUUUUUUUAGAGAAAAGGCGAGAGCCCGACUUUAUGGAUAAAGCCACCAGGCAGAGUAAAUGACCAACAGCCAGCACCCAACAAAGUAUCACACGAGGAAGAUAAAAUAUCAUUACAAGGCCAGCGGCCUCACAUGGCACGCAGGCCAGCCUAAACCAGACACCAAAAGAACAUUCAGGAAGCCGUCCUCAAAGAAAGCCGAAGAAGCCCAGACGCCGUAGAUUUCAUCUUGGAUAGCAUGGCGUCGAAGGCCUGGAGGUCCCCUUCUUUAGUCAAUAAUCUCCACUGCUGCAAGAAACCAUUGGCUUUAAAUAAGCAAUUGACAGGAUUAGCCGGAAAAAUACGUUCAAUCGAGAACUUAUUCCUAGUAGUCCACAACGACCAACCAAUCGCAGCCCAUCCAACUAAGAAUACUCUUUUAGAAUGGCCAGAGAGCAGAUUGACACAAUGCCUCAGGUCUUCAAAGGAGGAAGGGAACCAAUUUACAUGUAACCAAAGUCUGAUGCAACACCACAUAAGUUUAGCUAGAGAGCAGUGAAAGAAAAUAUGUUCGGUGUUCUCCAGUGCCCCACAUAGCACACACCUGUCGGACCCCGGCCCGUUUCUUUUCUUAAUCUGAUCGGCCGCCGAAAGCUUAUCCCGGACAGCUUGCCAGAGAAAAAUCUUGAUCUUAGGAGGAAUUCGAGCCGACCAGAUAUGCUUGAACUUGACCGGGCGCCCCCCAGGAAUAAGUUUGGAGUAAGCAGAUUUAACCGAAAAGCACCCCGAAGAGGAGAGGGGCCACACCACGGCAUCCUCUUCCUCCGAGAGCAGGGGGAAGCAAGCAGUAAGGCGCUGCCAAUCUUCCAACUCUUCAGGAGAAACAGAACGACGAAAAUCCAGAACCCAACCUCUAGCCGAGAGUUCAGAGAUAGAAACCUCAGUAUCAUCGCAAUAUGAAAAUAGAACCGGAAAAGCAACGGCCAGCAUGGAGUCCCCGACCCACCAAUCAAGCCAGAACCGAGUAGACUUACCGUUCCUAACUACAAAUUUAACAAGGGACCGAAAGAUCGGCCGGACUUUAACCAGUUGAUGCCAAAAUUGCGACUCACCCGCAGCCGGCGCGUACAUAGGACUCGAGGAAGGGAAAUACUUAGCUUUUAGAAUAGAAAGCCAGGGUGGCAGUUCCUCAAGAGUCAUAAUCUUCCACCACCAUUUGAUCAUAAGACAAUUAUUCAUCACUCGCGUAUUAAUAAUGCCCAGACCCCCUUUGGCCUUGGGGUGACAUAUGAUGUCCCAUCUGACCAUCCUGUACUUACGUUUAUUGUCCGUUGCGUUCCAAUAGAAAGCACCCCUAUGCUUGUCAAAACCAUUAUGAACCCCACUAGAGAGAAGAUAGAAUCCCAUUAAGAACAUAGGUAACGAAGACAGACAGGAGUUAGUAAGGGCGACCUUGCCCGCUUGCGUAUUGUAUCGCCCUCGCCAAGGGAGAACUCUGUUGCCAACUUUGGUAACCACCGGUGCGAAGUCUUUAGCCAGAAGUUUAAGCGGGGAAAUGGGAAGGCCCAGAUAUUUGAGAGGAUAGGAUCCCAAAGAACAGUUCAGAAGAUGGGCCACCCGCUGCGCCUCUUCACCCGAGACCCCAGUCACUACAACCUCACUCUUAGAGAAAUUGAUUUUAAGACCUGAGAGCAUAACCUCAGGUUUGUGUUGGGCAUCCAGUCAAACGUAAUAUUUUGCAUAACCUCAGGGGUCGUUUUAAAGUUUUCUACUACCAACUCUCUCUGAGAACCGCGGUUUCGCCUAGUGCUAUACUUGGGAGUGUUUCUGCAUAAUAUCAGACUUACCGGCGCGUGCCUCCUGUCUGACGUGGCAGGUUUCAGACUAAAUUGCAUCAAUUUGUUCUCGCAGAGCAAGUUUAGGGGUUAAUUUGAGUCGUUUUGCAAGUUCUUGUAUGGAAUUGUACCCCCGCUGCAAGUUUGUGUACUAAAACUGUAAUUAACUCUAAAAAAAGCGGUGAGCUGUCCGCGCGCGUGACCCACAUAAACGCGACGCGCACGCCACGCGUUACCUUGUCCGGAUCGGACAUAGAGACAUCGCCGUCCUCCUAGCUGCCUAUAUAUAGUACACCUUACAUCCUCACGUACUCCGCUCGUCUAGACAUCGAUCCCCCGUCGAGAAUCCGAAGCCAGCUCAAGCCGACGCGCGUUUCUCGCCGGCCGGCCGACCCAGCUCGCGCGCACAGCAACGUUCUGAGCUCAUGUCGACGGUAGUAGGCGCACUUUCCGAGCCCACGUCGACGCCCACCCGCAAGCGCCCGGCGGCGGAGCGCGUCGGCAGCGGCAACGGCGGCAAGAAGGCUCGAUGCUCGUUCGGGAGCAUCCGCGACUACAAGACGCUGGAGGUGCUCGGGGAAGGCGCCUUCGGCCAGGUCUUGAAGGCGCGCGACCGCCGCACGGGCAAGAAGGUGGCGGUGAAGUGGAUCCGCGCGCCCGACAUGCCGGCCGUGAUCCGCGAGGCCGGCUGCCACGCCGCGUGCCGCGGCCACCCGUCCAUCGUCGACAUCCUGGACGUGGCGACGGACGCCGACACGGGGGACUUGUUCCUCGUCAUGGAGCUCGUCGCCGGCGGCCUCACGCUCCGGGAGCACCUCUACAAGCCUCUCUCGGAGGACGUGGUCCGCCGGAUGAUGCGUCAGCUCCUGGACGCGGCCGAGAGGAUACACGGGGCCGGCGUCGUCCAUCGGGACAUCAAGCCCGAGAACGUCCUCGUCACCAUGUUCGGCGAGCUGAAGAUGGGCGACUUCGGGUCGGCGACGCGGCGGAAGCCGCCCCGGGUGCCGUACGAGGAGUGCCGCGUGGGCACGCUGAUCUACACGUCGCCGGAGCAGCUGGAGGGAAACCGGUGCUACGGGCAGGCCGUGGACAUGUGGGCGCUCGGGUGCAUCAUGGCGGAGCUCCUGGCCGGUGGGACCCUGUUCGUGGGAGACACGGAGGAGGGCAUGGUCGCCGAGAUGUCCAAGCUACGAGAUCAGAUCGCCUCCACGGGGAAGAUGGACUUGGAGUGGUUCCCGGAUCUUUCGGAAGCCGGGCACGACCUCCUGACUGGCCUGCUUGCCUUCAACCCCGACGAGCGGCUCACGGCGGUGGAAGCGCUUCACCAUCGGUGGUUCAACAACAACGAGGCCUCUGCUUAAUUAUCCUUCGAUAAUAGACCAACUGUUCAUUGCAUUGCUCUGUACUGUAGUGUCCCAGAGUUAUUAGCUUAAUAAUCCUUCAACGCUUCUGCAGAUUUGUUUUGGGAAAAAGGUUUGGACUGAACCUUAUUUUCACACUCCCGGGGAUAGGUUUAAGCGUGUACUAUACUACUCCCUCCGUUCCCAAAUAAUUGUCUUUCUAGCCAUCUCAAAUGAACUACAACAUACAGAUGUAUGUAGACAUGUUUUAGAGUAUAGAUUCACUCAUUUUGCUCCGUAUGUAGUCACUUGUUGAAAUCUCUAAAAAGACAAUUAUUUAGGAACGGAGGGAGUACUAUGUACUAAGCGUGUGUGCACGAACUAUGGGUGCUGUUAUGCGCAUCCUUUUUGGUCACAACAGUGUUCUUAAUCAUAAUUAGAGACAAAAUCUUUGAAAUGCACGAUGGACUUUGCUACUUAUGCAAAUAUGCUGCAAUGUACUCCCUCUGUCCGGAAUUACUUGUCGUGAAAAUGAAUAAAUAUAAAAGUAUUUAGAACUAAAAUACGUUUAGAUACAUCCAUUUCUUUGACAGGUAUUUUUGGGCGGAUGAAGUACUUAUAUAUUCUCUUCCAUUUAUAAUUUACUCCUUCAAUCGUUGGUUUUUCUGUAAUCAGAGAACUGCAUGGUAGUGAUAAUUUUUUUCUUGGCAAUAUUCGAGUCAUCAGCGACUCAACUGCUAUGUCCAAGUCACCUCGUGGCACCCCCACGGUUAACAGUAAUUGAGUCCUUCAAGACUGGCAUGUCAAAAAUACUCCCUCUGUUCGGAAUUGUCAUAGAAAUAGUGUCACUACGGAAGCGCGUGCGCUGCUACUGAACAGAACGACAUAAACAAGUCAGUUGUAUCCGAUUAGUAGUAAGUAUAUAUAACAAACAAUGCAAGUAGAACACCAUGAAGAAUGAAACUCAAUCAAGUAGCCAACAAUGCACUUGCAUAAGCGCGAAACCAUUGCACACAUAAUAUUUACAGAAAAGUUCUUCGUUUAAUUGCAAAAGAAUCAAUAUACUUAUAAUGUUAAAUCAAGAUUUACUAAUAAGACAAAAAGAAACCAUUGAACGGAAUUGUUGACAAAUAUGUGGUGUCGAGAUUGUCGCACCUAGUAAUGAUUGCAACCAGAUGAUCUUUGUCAUAACAUUGGCCAUUGAUUUGUACUCAUCCUCUUUACUAGUUUUAGACAUCGUAGCUUGUUUCCUUGCAGUCCAAGAGAUCAUAUUUACUCCAAAGAACACAACAAAGCCACCUGUGGACCGUCCAUCAUCUAGACAACUUGCCAGUCAGUAUCAGAGAAUGAGCUAACAAGAGCAGAUGGUGAUCUCGUAAAGGACAACCCCAUCAUAAUAGUGCCACUCAAAUAUCUCACACUUAUCUUGGUUGUGGUCCAAUGAAUUGUGUUUGGAGCAUGGAUGAACUGACAUACCAUACUAACUGAAUCAGAUAUGUUAGGCCAUGUCAAUGUGCAACACCUAUAAUGUUGCGGUGUCUGGUUGCAUCUUCAGUGUAAAGUUUUCCCCCUUUAACCAGAGAUAGUUUCUCUGCCGUGGACAAUGAUGUAGCACCUUGCUUACACUUCACUAUGUUUACUCUAGCUAAGAUUUCACUGACACUUGACUUAAGAAAGUUGCAGCCCCUCUAUAGCCCUAUGUACCUCAAUACCUAGGAAAUAGUGAAGCUCAUCUAGAUACUUCGGUGCAAAUUGUGAUUGAAGUCCAUGAAGCAAUGUUGCAACAACUGAUGAAUCAGACCUUGUAAUAAUGAUGUCAUCCACAUAUACUAAGAUAUAUUAGUAUCCCCUUCCUUUUUUACAAAAAGUGAGGUUUCACACAGAGAUGAUGUAAAUCCUAGUUCUUGAAGCCUGGAACUGAAAUUGGAAUACGGAGCUCUGGGUGCAUGUUUGAGUGCAUACAAAGCUUUAUCCAAUUUACAAACAAAAGUGUGGGUACUCCUUUUCUUCAUAACUUGGUGGUUUUCUCAUGGAAACUUCCACCAUGAUGAAAUGCAUUCUGGACGUUAAGCUGUUGAAGACACUAACCUUUGGAGAUAGCAAGAGACAAUACAAAACUUACGGUGGCAGAUUUUAUAACUAGACUGGAGUUGCCUUCAUAAUCUAUCGCAUAUCUUUGUCUGAAGCCCUUGGCAACCAAACGAGCCUUGUAACGACCAACCGUUCCACCAACUUUCUUCUUUAUCUUGUACGCCCAUUUACAAUCAACAAUAUUUUGGCCCUUCACAGGAGCAACGAGGCGCCACAUAUAUGGUUUUUUCUAUCAAGGCACCAAAUUCUUCAUCCAUGGCUUACUUCCACCUAGGAUCAUGAGCGGCUUCCACAUGUGACCUUGGUUCAGCUGGAGCCAAAGAACUUGAUGCAAUGUAACACACCAUGUCAUUGGGAAGCACCUUUGGUUUUGAUAUACCAUGUUGCAACCGUGUGUGGACACCAGGUAGUGCAGAUGUGCCUACAGCUGCAGAAGGCCUAGUGCAGUCCGGUGUGCCUUCCACCCAAGCAGAGGCAUGUCUGCCUGGCGCGUCGAGAUCCUCGGCAUCACGAGAGCUAUAUCUCGCUUAUAGUGAGAUACAUGCUACCCUCGCCUGAAGCUUUUAUCCCUCACGUAGGUAUUGGGCCAGCCCGUUUCAUUUUUUUUAUUCGCUCGCUCCUCACUCGGAAAAAAAAACGGUGAGCUGUCCGUGCGCGUGACCCACAUAAACCGUACACCUUACAUCCUCCUCACGUACUCCGCUCGUCUAGACAUCGAUCCCCCGUCGAGAAUCCGAAGCCAGCUCCAGCCUACGCGCGUUUCUCGCCGGCUGGCCGACCCAGCUCGCGCGCACAGCAACGUUCUGAGCUCAUGUCGACGGCAGUAGGCGCACGUUAUGAGCCCACGUCGACGCCCACCCGCAAGCGCCCGGCGGCGGAGCGCGUCGGCAGCGGCAACGGCGGCAAGAAGGCUCGAUACUCGUUCGGAAGCAUCCGCGACUACAAGACGCUGGAGGUGCUCGGGGAAGGCGCCUACGGGCAGGUCUUGAAGGCGCGCGACCGCCGCACGGGCAGGAAGGUGGCGGUGAAGUGGAUCCACGCGCCCGACCUGCCCGCCGUGAUCCGCGAGGCCGGCUGCCACGCGGCCUGCCGCGGCCACCCGUCCAUCGUCGACAUCCUGGACGUGGCGACCGACACCGACACGGGGGACCUGUUCCUCGUCAUGGAGCUCGUCGCCGGCGGCCUCACCCUCCGGGAGCACCUCUACAAGCCUCUCUCGGAGGACGUGGUCCGCCGGAUGAUGCGUCAGCUCCUGGACGCGGCCGAGAGGAUACACGAAGCCGGCGUCGUGCAUCGGGACAUCAAGCCCGAGAACGUGCUCGUCACCAUGUUCGGCGAGCUGAAGAUGGGCGACUUCGGGUCGGCGACGCGCCGGAAGCCGCCCCGGGUGCCGUACGAGGAGUGCCGCGUGGGCACGCUGAUCUACACCUCGCCGGAGCAGCUGGAGGGGAACCGGUGCUACGGGCAGGCCGUGGACAUGUGGGCGCUCGGGUGCAUCAUGGCGGAGCUCCUGGCCGGCGGGACCCUGUUCGUGGGAGACACGGAGGAGGGCAUGGUCGCCGAGAUGUCCAAGCUACGAGAUCAGAUCGCCUCUACGGGGAAGAUGGACUUGGAGUGGUUCCCGGAUCUUUCGGAAGCCGGGCACGACCUCCUGACCGGCCUGCUUGCAUUCAACCCCGACGAGCGGCUCACGGCGGUGGAAGCGCUUCACCAUCCGUGGUUCAACAACAAGGAGGCCUCUGCUUAAUUAUCCUUCAAUAGACGAACUGUUCAUUGCAUUGCUCUGCUGUAACUAACUAGUACAAAGUUGGGUCAUCUAUUUUGGAACGGAGGGAGUAUGUAUCAAGCGUGUGUGCACGAACUUAUUUGAGAUAUAAUCUAUGUGUGCUGUCCUGGGCAUCCUUUUUAGUUACAGCAGUUCUUAAUCCUAAUUUGAGACAAAAUUUUGAAAUACACGAUGGGACUUGCUACUUAUGCAAAUAUGCUGUAAUGUACAGAACGUACUAGUCCCUCCGUUCCGAUAUACUCGUUGCGAUUUUAGUUCAAAAUUUGAAUUAAAACCACGACGAGUAAAUCGGUUCCGGGAGUAUAUAUUAUGUCGACUUGUUUGUGGGCAUACAAAGUAAUCCAAGUGCAGAUCCAGUGAAGGGCAAGCAAGUGGUCGAUGCAGUGGUGCAGAUCGAGCGGUCGUUCGGAUAUGAGCCGGCGCGUUUAGACGGUUUCAGCGUUCCCGGUUUUGGGAACCUUCUGGAAGCUCCAAGCCGGUUUUCUACGGUUUUGGGAAACUUCUAAAAGCUUCCUGUACCGGAUUUUUUUCUAUUCUGUUUCUCUUUUCUUUUUACUUCUUUUGCAAAAAAAAUUUCCAUUUUCUCUUUGUUUUUGUUAUUUUUUCGUUUUAUGUUUCUUUUUUCUUUUCUUUUCAUUUUUUUCUCAAAUUUAUUUUUCUUUUUCCAAAAAUGUUCGCAUUUUAAAAAUAUUGUUCAUUUUCGUAUAAAAUGUUUCUGUUUCCAAUUUUACUUCAAAGAUUCCAAACGAAAACAAAAUUCCAAAAUUUGUUCGCAUCGUUUCAGAAAAUGUUCGGUAAUUCAAAAAAUGUUCACCUUUUAAAUUUUGUUCACAAACCGAAAAAUAUUUGUUUUCACAAAAGUUUCUGUUUAAAAGAAAUGUUCGCAUGCUUAAAUUUUGUUCACAAAUUCAAAAAUGUUUGAGAAUUUUUAAAAAAUGUUCCUGAUUCAAACAAAUUUCAGUAAUGCAAGGGAAUUCUGGAUCUUCAAAAAUUGUUUCCAUUUAAAAAAUUUGUUUGCAAAUUCAAAAAAAAAGUGUUUUAGAAAAUUGUUCACAUACUAAAAAAAAUGUUCAUGUUUAAAUUUUUUUUCACAAAUUCUAAAGAUGUCCGCAUGUUUAGUUUUUGUUCCCAAAUUCAAUUUUUUGGGCAAAUUAAAAAAUGGUCAUGUUUCCAAAAUUGUUCACAUAUUCAAAAAGUGCUAUAUUCUUCAAAAUCUGUUCACAAAUUAAAAAAUGUUCACAUUUCAAAUUUUGUUCACAAAUUCCAAAAAAAUGGGAAUUCCAAAAAAUUGUUCCUGUUUCCAAUUUUUUCGCAAAUUCACAAAUGUAAUGGUAUUUCAACAAUUCUUUCCAUUUUGCAAAUUUGUUUGCAAAUUCAAAAACUAUUUUGUUUUCAAAAUUUGUUCACAUAUUCAAAAAAGUCAUGUUUAUUUAUUUCACAAAUUCAGAAAAUGUAUGCUUUUUAUAUUAUUUUUCACAAAUUCAGGAAUAUUUGUGGAUUUUCAAAAACAUUCCUGUUUUCCAAAAUUGUUCACGUAUUCGAAAAAAUGCUACACUUUUAGGAAAUAAUUUUUUUUAAUGUUCAUGCUUGAAAUUUUAAAACCAGCUUUAAUGUGCCUCUGAUUAUAGUUUACAUAUUCCGGUCUGCCAAUGUACACAGUAAAUCUCAGUUAUUACAGUGGCUAUGUAGUCUCUUCCCUGUCCGGAGUACUUGAGUUCGAAGCCUUGCCCAGUAGUUUUAAUUUAUGGAAUUUGGCAAACUGGUUUUUCUUUUUCGCCGCAGCUGGCAAUUUCUUUUAAACUCGCGUUGCUAAUAUUUCAGAGUAAAUAACCUGUCGCGGUUGCUAGCGCUUCGGGCGCUUCUACAGAAGGUCGCUGGUUCGAUUCCUGUAGGUAGCGCCCUCUUAUUUUUUUGCGAAUUUUACAUUCUGCUCAAGACAUCGCGAAUUUUACAUUCUGCUCAAGACAUCGAAUGGGUCGGCCCAGUCAGCAGUCGCGCACCUCCUGUGCGUCUCGUGAUCUAUUCGCCGCGAAACACGGCAUAUAGGAGCUCCCAAAACCCACAUCACAUGCUCCUGUUGCAGCUGGGCAGCAACCUCAAUGGACACUUCCACCUGCAGGCUGGACAAAACUCAACGUCGACGGCUCGUUCUGUGCAUCUACCAGUACGGCUGGAGCGGGUAUGAUUCUGCGCGAUAGUGCCGGCGAGGUCAUAUUCUCCUCAUGCAGAGAACUGAGGUCAUGUGUGGAACCCCUAGAGGCCGAACUGCUUGCGUGUAUGGAGGGCCUGAACCUUGCCCUACAAUGGACGCAACAACCUAUCGUAGUGGAAACAGACUGCCUUGUUGCUUUCAACAUGAUCAUAGGAGAAGAGAGAAUUCGGUCCUGUUACUCCAUGCUUGUGGACCAGAUUAUAAGAGGCUCAUAGGAGAAGGGAGAUUAGUUAAGCUAGUGCAUGUACCUAUAGAGUAGAAUGACAUAAGCCAUUACCUCGCUUCCUUUGGUAGAACUGAAUGCCACACCAUCGUGUGGCUGGGUUCAGGUCCAGGUAAUAUCCCUGACCUUUGUAAGAGUGAAAUGGCUCCGGAGUGAUCAAUAAUAAUCCCUUUUCACCCACAAAAAAAAAGAA